GAGUAGUUAAAAGAUAGAACAGUCUAGCCAAGUGCCAUGUCUCUUAUUCUUGAUCAGCUAUAGCUCUGGAGUUUUUGCAGAUUUUUAAAUAAAACUCAGAGAUUCCUUGUAUGACUCUCUAAAUCUCUCUUUUGUGGUAUUUCUGGAUCCUUACCAAGACAGUGAUGGUAUAUGCCUUCUCUUAAGAUAUGUGGUAUUUGUGGUAUAAGGCAUAGUGACAUUGCCUUCUCUCUCACCCUACUCUAAUAAGGCUCUAAUAUCUGGAGCUCAUAGGUGGGAGAUAAAGUAUACAUACUUACAAGACAUUUAUUGUAUAGUCAAACCAUGGAUCCAAAGAAACAAAUCAAUAAGCCAAAUCAAGAUGUGCAUGUGUGGCGAAUGAAUGGUGUAUGAUGAUGAUGGUGAUAACAAUGGUGAAAGUCUAAUUCUACUUUUGCUCUUUUGAGGGGAUACAUACCUUCCUUGCUUUUUGAAACUUUAUGAGGAGAAUGAGAUGCUCUUCUUUUUCUUUCCUCUCAGGUGGGUAUCUUGUACCCCUAAUUCUACUGUCGGACACUUGUCCAUUUUUACCUCUCGUCUCACUUUUUCUUUCUUUCGAGGUUCCGGGCACUUGCCCCUUUUUAUUUCCUUGUUUAUUAUUUUUUUUCUUUUUUUUUCUUUUUUUUCAGAGCACUCAUCUCUUGAGAUAAUAUAGCAAGUGGUAGUAGCAAGAUAACUUGAGCAUUUAUUUCACAAGGGAAAACCGAAAUAUUUUUGGCUAUUCUCUCCCGGAUUAGGAGUAGAAUAUUUUUGGGUGGUUCUGGAGAUGGACAUGGAUGGAUAUAUGUGGAUGGUACUUCCGGAGUAGAAGUAGCAUAUAUGAGUGAACGUGCAAGUGAAUCUUGAUUUAACCACAUGACAAGCUCCUAAGGGUCUACACAGCUUGACCACACUCAAUGCUCAUAAGCAGUAAAUAAUAAAUGUGUGGCUCAAAGUCUAGCAAGCAUGUAUAUAUGGCUGUGGUAGGAAUUUAAACUCUCAUCAUACAGGAACUCAUCAUGCAAUAUUUUAAAGAUUUUUCAAAGAUAAAAUUCUCCAGAAUUCUAGCAUCUCUAGGAACAGAUAAACAGCAGCUCAACCUUCCCAUAUCAUAUCCGUUAACAACUUAGAUUUCGGAUCAAGUUUUCAUCCCACAAGUUUAGAUCUAGAGGAAGCUUUAAAUUAUAACAGUUAUGUCUAAACUUGAGAGAGAACUUCAAAUUUGCAAAUUAGGCAGAGCAACUAUUCAUCAUAUCCAUGCUAGAGUUUUAUUAUUAAGAUUCAGAUUAGCAUAGCCACUUUAUUUAUUUAUUAAACACACUAAGCAAAAGAUAUAUAUAUAAGCACGAAAUCUUUAUUUGGUUUUUCAUAGUUUAUGUAUUUUAAUAUUCUAAUAUAAUAUAAGUAUAAAGAUAGGUAGAAAUACUUAGCGAGAUAAAUGGGGGUGCUCUCCCCCAAGCUGAAUUUUGACGUAAUUUCUCUUGAUGUAGCUAGCAGGUGGCAGAGGUGUAUUUGAAAGUCAGCAGCAUUCUGACAGCGAUUAGAAUAUCCUCCGUCUGCUAGUCUUCUUGAUUUUUAAAUUCUAUGGAGCUCAAAUAGACAACAAAGCUUGUGGAACUAAUUAAGUGUUAGCAUAAAUAUCUAGCCUUCAUCAUGUUGAGCUUCCUUAAUAAAUAUUACUCCCUUUUUUUAUAUUUUUAUUUUAUAAAGCAGAAAAGAAAUAUUUAUUUUAUUUUUAUGCCACCACAGUGAAGGUACUUAUGGGUUUUAUGCCACUCGUAUACUCACAUGGGGCUUAGUAUUUUUUAACAUUUUUAUUUUCUUUUCAAGAUAGCAUGAUUAACUAAUAAUCUAUUUAAGGAAAGUAAAUAAUUAAAGGGAAAAGGGAAUGCAGAAAGGAUAGAUAUGGAUAACUACCGAUCUUACCUUUCGGCGAUGGUUCAAUGUUUUAAGUCUUCUUAACAAGACUUCUCACCGUGUUCAUUCUUUAGGUGCGUCAUUUGAUUCAGGCACCUCUUCGUUUGCCUAGCAGUUCGAAGUGCGGCGUUGGCAGUAUCCUGCUCAGUGUGUUUGUGCUCGUAGAUCCAGGUCCUUUACUUGGUAGAGUCUGAGAGUUAUAAAACUCCUCUGUGUUUUGCUCGAAGCGUACCUGCUCAUAGAGGCAAGGCAGAGAUCAAGUGCAUGGGUCCUGUUGGUGGAAAACACCAACAGAACCUAAAGUGUAUUUGUUCUUCUCUAACCUUAAGCAUGGUGAGCAAGACAAAGUUGAUGAAUGAUAAGUUCAUGAGUGUAGCAUUUAAAACAUUUGUCAGAUCAGAUCGCUCAACCUUAUGGAAAGAUAAUCUAUCUAUGUAUAUGUCUUUUUCUUUAUAUCUCUCAAUGAUUGAAUGUGUAACAUUUUAGCUCAUAUGAUUAUGAGUGUGGGAUCAUGGAGGUAGUACUAAGAACAAGGAUUAAAGGACUAAACAUGUUGAAUCAGUUGGGUUGGUUAAUCUAGAGUUGUAAAUCAUACAUGUUUGUCUCUUUUAUUUAUAUGAACGCUAGAACCAAGAAGAAGCUUAUAAAAGUGAUAGUCAAGUACCUUAAGAUGUUACCUUGCUUGAAGAGUGAUGGUACAGUAUCACCUUGUGGAAGCUUUCCUUUCUUAGCGGUUGUGCAUCGUGUUUGUGGCACCCUCCAUGGAUCAUCUCUCUAUGAUGAAUGAGCUAUGUCCUUCUUGUGCAAAUUGUUAAACUUUAUGUGUCACUCUCUUCGUCUCUGAUGUGAGUUUAUCUCAGGACUUCCCAAAUCGAUAUUGAAAGUUUUUCUGCAGGGGUUAUUCCGACAAAAAUAUACCAAUGUCUACACAAGCACUUUUUAGUUCAAUAACCGAACUAGACUCCAUGUCUAAUCAGAUUAAGGAAGGCUGUUUAACUUAAGCACCAUGCUUAAUUUAAAAGCCAAUAGAAGUAUGUGCAGUACUUCCAAACUAACACUUACUAGUAAAUAGACAAAGGUAACAUGACAACAUUUAUAGAGAUCUACUCAAGUGGAGAUGAAGUAGUGUGAUUAGUAUUUAACAAAUUGAGCAUGUCUCAAAGGUAGGGACAACCAACAUAGCAACAUGGCAAAGGAUGUUUUUAUGUAAAGUACUCCCCCAAGCUUGAAUUUUGCAAAAUUCAAGUUUGGAUUAAUUUAAUUCAAUGUUGUAUGAUGAUUGGUUGGACAUACCUUGUGCUUGUCAUUCAUCCGAUCUUCUUGCUCCAAUCCUGUAAAGGUUAGUGACAAGAAUACCCGAAGGAAUAUUUUUACAAUUAUCCUUAUAUGCUCGAUACACAAGGUAAUGUUGCAAAUAAUUAAAAACUCAUGUUACGAUCUGAUCAGUACUUAUUUUAAGACACUAAGCUUGUCCUUGGGAAACCAUCAAUUUAUGUCGGCGAAGUGGUUUCCCUUCCAACGCUGACCUAAAUCAAGAUCAACUCAACGAGAUCUGCAAUAUUUAUUAUAGACAUAUGCAUCGACAACCACCCUUUUAAAGUUUUUAUAAAUAUAAAGGAAGAGGGGGUUGGAGAUCUCAAAUGUGGUGAUGUUGGAGAGACCAAUAGAUUGGGAAGAUGUUGCAUAUGAGCAUGGAGUAAACAAAAUGGCUAUGAAAUAAAUUCCAUGCUCAUUAAUGUUAUCUUCGUCUCCAAUCUGAAUGUUCAGAGUUUCUCUUGGAUUGGUCUCACUUAUGUCCUCUUCUAUAGUUGGAUGAAUCCCAUCUUCAAAGGGAGUCAAGAACUCACCAUUUGAAAUUGAACCAAAGUCAGAAUUCAUUAAGGCUUCUUCCUUAUCCAUCCAUUCUACACAUUCUAGCCAAUUAGAACUUGUGAUCAGGAAAGGGGAGGUGUUAGAAUUUUCAAUAUGGAUUAGCUCUCCUUCACUUGAUAUGUCAUCCUCGACUUCUUCAUAACAGGAACCAGGACAUUCUCUAAGAGAACCAUUAUUGCGAGGAUUUGAAUUAUCCCUGCUUGAAGGUCUCUUAUGGAACCAGAAGUCUAAACCAUCAGCAUCUGGAAGAUUUAAGGUCGGAAUUCCUUCCUCCCUUGGAGAAUUUUGGGGUAUUGAUGGUUUAGGAUCGAUAACUAAAGUUUGGAAUUGACGUGGUUGUGAUCUGGCUAUCGAAACUUCUUCUUCUUGUCUAGGAACUGGUUCUUUCUCUUUCUCAGGGAUAUAAAAGCUAGGAGACUUUCCACUUAAUAAAUCAAUCAAAUUCCAAGCUUCACUAGCAGGUAGGUGAUAGAAGGAUCCUCUAGAGGCUGUAUUCAAGGUUUGCUUAUUUUCCCCACUAAGGCUCUCAAAAAAGUGAAUUAGAAGAACUUCUUCUGGAAUAGAAAGCUUUGGGCCAGUGAGAGUAAGGUUAAUAAAGCGGUCCCAUGAUUUGCUAAGAGAUUCUUCUUCCAGUUGUCUAAAAGAAAUAAUCUCACACCGAAGUUCUGCCACUUUAGAGAUUGGAAAAUAUUUUAAAAGAAAACUAUUAUGUAACUCCUUCCAAUCUCCAUGAACACUCCCUACUUUGAGUUUGUACAAAUGUCUAGCUUUUCCCGUUAAAGAGAACGGAAAGAGCUUCCAUUUAAGGGUCUCAUCGGACAUUCCUUCUAUGCGAAGGAGGUCACAGACUCGAUAAAACUCUCUUAGGUGGGUGUAUGGGUUUUCCUCACUUUCUCCUGAGAAAGGUUGUUUUUGAACAAAUUCUAUGUAUUCGGGGUCUAUCUCAAAACUAGAUGCUAUGAUAGGCUUUGAAGAUUUUGGUGGUUCGAGAUGUGUGCCCGUAGGUCUAUGAAAUUCAUAGAUAGACAUUUUUGAAUUCAUGAUAGACCAGAGAUCAAGGAUUAGAUACGAAGAAAGAAUAGCAGAGAUAAGGCAAAGGAUAAAAGGAAAAAUAUUUUUUUUAUUUUUUUUAGAAAAUGAUUAAGCUAGUUCGUAGUCAACUCAGCAACCGUUUCCCCGGCAACGGCGCUAAAAAUGCUUGUUGACACUUGCUAACACCACUUGAAUACUAGGUUGUCAUCCCCAGCAUGGCACUAGAGUAUACUAUGGUAUUUAUACGUACACAGAUAAUCCGCAAGCGCACGGAUACCGUUGAAGCUUUUACCCGGUUAAAGGUUUUAUCGUAUCCACAGGGAAACAGGAGAACCAACUACACUCUAACUUAACCAGGAUAGAUAGAUAAGUGUAAAUAGGAAGAUGGUAGAAUUGAAUAAGAACAAUAUUAAAGGUAAGAUAACAGUGAGUGAUAAUAUGGGAAUAGAGAGUAGAGCAAUUCUAGUAUAUGGGCGAUGGUAGCAGAAUAGAGAGGAUAACUAUGGUUUUUCUACUUCAAAGGGGUAUGUCUAUGUCUGGGACGAACCACGUGAUAAGAGUACACCACAAAGGAUGCUUAUCCUUAGGCCGAUAAACCCUACCCGUCGUGCUAACGAGAGGUGGACUACAGAGGACCAACGUAACUGUCACCUACGUGGCCUACCACACGAUCCAGCUAGACAGGGGAUAUCCACAAGUAAUCUAGAUCUAAGCACCUCGCUUACACCUAUACUACAACUCUCACCUAUAGCGUCCUAUAGAUUAGAAUACUCAAAAGAGUUGUGAACCAGAACAUACAUAAUUAGUAAUUGCAUAAUGAAUUAGAAGUAGAUUACCAGAGUCAUCCCAUGAGCAAGCUUGAUUAGAGCUUGAUCAUGACGAAGUAUAACCGGAGGAAGAACCGACAGGCCGGCCUCUCCUCUAAUCCUCCUUCGCUCUCCAUCUUGCUACUAUCUAGAUCUACUCUAGUUUAGAGAAGAGAGGAGAGCUCUCAUCUCUAAACCCUAGCUUUUGCUCUGUCUAUGAAUAAUGAAUAAUGAUCAAGGGGUGCAUCCUCCAGGGGCCAGGGGGUCUGGUUAUAUAGUCCCCUCAAGUGAACCUGGGCUGUCGGAUCAAACCGACAUUGAUUGAACGGUUAUUCUUGAUCCUUUAGGUCGGUGGAGAUCUCCCGAGAGAAAGAGUCCUGAUUGGGCUCCAAGUCAGGGCGGGCGCCCAGGGCAGGAGGGCGGGCGCCCUGCCUCUAGCCCCGUUCGGCCUCCGCUUCCUUCCCGUGGCUUCUGGAGUCUUCUAGAUGUAAGAUAAUUGCGCGACACAUUAAUAUCUCUAUGUAUUCCCGACGUGUGGGCCUUUCUUCCGUAUUUCCUGAUAACCCCCUACAGAAAUAGACAAACACCAAAACUCAUGGAAUUCUGUCAGAUAAAACCCUAAGUCUAGGUGUUGGUUUCAUUUGGAUCCUUUUCUUUGUUUAUUUGAUAAUUAAAUUUGAUACUUAAGGACCGUCAACAUACGACAGCGACGAGGACAGAAUGGCUCCAGAACCGCUGGGCCCUCGAGUCUUCAGCAGAGCAAUCCGCAGCACGCCAUUGCCAAACCCGUUUUGACCCCCGACCAGCAUUGCUAAAUAUAACGGUGAAACAAAACCAGAGCUAUGGCUGGCAGACUUCCGGCUGGCCUGCCAGUUGGGAGGUGCUCGAGGAGACGAUCGAGCCAUCAUCCGCCAAUUACCGCUCUAUCUCUCCGAUACCGCUCGCAGAUGGCUCGAGGAGCUCCCAGCCGACCAGAUCCAUGACUGGACCGAUUUGGUCUGAGUAUUCGAAGGCAACUUUUAAGGGACCUACAUACGACCCGGCAACUCAUGUGACCUCAGUAAGUGCAAGCAAAAAUCAGGAGAAACUCUCCGAAAGUACGCUCGACCUUUCUCGAAGCAGCGCACCGAGCUUCCGCACAUCCCCGACCACGACGUCAUACUGGCCUUUGUCUCAGGCACCGCCUGCAAACACCUGGUGCGGGAGCUAGGCCAAAACCGCCCUCAGACCAUCGACGAGCUGAUGGACAUGGUGGCAAACUAUGCUGCAGGUGAGGAGGCGGUUGGUGCUUUCUUCAGCCAUGAAGGAAGCAAAGAGAAGGUGCCAGUGGAUGACGACGAGGGCCCUAGCCGAGGUUCUAAGAAGAGCAAGAACAAGAAGAAAGCGCGACCAUUCAAGCGCGAGGCCCUCGACGAUGAUUUCGUCGCCGCCGCAGAGCGCAAAAAGCCUCGAGGCCCCCCGGAGGGGGCCGUCUUCGACAAAAUGCUAAAGGAGCCCUGUCCUUAUCACAAGGGAGGAGCAAAUCACAAGCUCAAAGACUGCCGCAUGCUGAAAAGGUACUUCGACGGCCUUGGGCUGAAGUAGGACGACCAAAGGAAGGACAAGAGCGACGACAAUGAGGGAAACAAAGAAGACAAAGGUUUCCCUGCCGUCCAUGACUGCUACAUGAUCUACGGUGGGCCCUUGACGUAGCUCACCGCGAGGCAACACAAGAUGGAGCGCCGUGAGGUCUUUGCGGCCAGGAUGGCGGUGCCCCAGUACCUCAAUUGGUCGAGCACCCCCAUCACCUUCAACCGCGACAACCAUCCCGACAUGGUGGUCGCUCCCGGCGUCUACCCGCUCGUCGUUGACCCCAUCAUCAUCAACACUAGGCUCUCGAAGGUACUGAUGGAUGGCGGCAGCAGUCUGAACAUCAUUUAUCUCGAGACCCUCGACCUCCUCGGCAUCGAAAGAGCACAGCUCCAGCCAAGCGCGGGCGGCUUUCAUGGCGUUGUGCCAGGAAAGAAGGCGUUACCGGUGGGCCGAAUCGACCUGCCGGUCUGUUUCGGCACGGCGGCCAACUUCCGAAAGGAAACUCUCAUCUUCGAAGUGGUGGGAUUUCACGGCAUGUACCACGCCAACAUCAGAUGACUGGGCUACGCCAAAUUCAUGGCUAUCCCCAAUUACACCUACCUGAAGCUGAAGAUGCCUGGGCCCAAGUGGGUCAUCACCGUCAGCUCUUCCUACGAGCACGCGUACGAGUGCGACGUCGAAUGCGUCGAGUAUGGAGAAGCCGUCGAGAACUCUACCGAACUCGCCUCGAAGCUCGAGGCCCUCGCUGCUGAGGCUCCAGAGCCCAAACGUCACGCGGGCAGCUUCGAACCAGCGGAAGGCACGAAGAAAAUCCCGCUCGACCCCAACAGCUCCGACGACAAGGCACUGACGAUCAGCGCCGACCUCGACCCCAAAUAGGAAGCCGUGCUCAUCGACUUUCUCCGUGCGAACGCUGACAUGUUUGCAUGGAGUCCCUCGGACAUGCCAGACAUACCGAGGGAAGUCGCCGAGCACUCCUUGGAGAUUCGAGCCAGUUCCAAACCAGUGAAACAACGACUGCGUCGCUUCGACGAGGAGAAACGCAAGAUCAUUGGCGAGGAGAUCCACAAGCUUUUGGCGGCCAGAUUCAUCAAGGAGGUUCAUCAUCCUGACUGGUUAGCAAAUCCUGUAUUAGUUAAGAAAAAGAAUGAGAAAAUGAGGAUAUGUGUCGAUUACACGAGUUUGAAUAAAGCAUGUCCAAAAGUUCCCUUUCCUUUACCACGCAUCGACCAAAUUGUUGAUUCUACCGCGGGAUGUGAAACCCUUUCAUUCCUCGAUGCAUAUUUUGAUUACCAUCAAAUAAAAAUGAAAGAAUCCGACCAGCUCGCGACAUCUUUCAUCACGCCUUUUGGGAUGUAUUGUUACGUAACCAUGCCCUUCGGGCUUCGAAACGCUGGGGCAACAUACCAACGAUGCAUGCUCCACGUGUUUGGUGAACACAUAGGGUCGAUGGUCGAGGCAAACGUCGACGACAUCGUCGUCAAAUCAAAGAAACGGGGCGACCUGAUUCAGGACCUCGAGAUCGCUUUUGGCUGUCUACGCGCUAAUAAAAUCAAGCUCAACCCCGAGAAAUGCAUCUUUGGCAUACCUCGAGGCAUGCUCCUUGUCGACGAAAGCUGGUCGGCAGUCUACCUUGGGGUAUACCCACGGUAGUAGUUUAUCGGCAGACGGUGCGCAAACUACGAACUCGAUGGUGACGCAAGACACGAACAAGCUUUUUAUCCAGGUUCGGCCGCCGAGUUGGCGUAAUACCUACGUCCUGCGUCUGAUUGUAUUGAUUUGUGUUGAGAGAGUAAUGUGUCCUAGGGGGGUCCCUUGCCCCUCCUUAUAUAGUCCGGAGGGCAGGGUUACAGAUCUGGAAACUAAUCCUAGUCGGUUACAAUUGCCAUAGAUAGUUUGAUAUCAAUUCCUAUUCUAACCGACUAGAAUCCUGCUUGAUUUCCACGUCUUGUUUCCUCGCGCGGAACUCCAAGCUGUCGGAUCAAGCCUUGAGCUUGUCUCGUAAUGGGCCAAGCCUCCUGGCCCAAGUCUAGCCGUAAGGGUAUAGGGGUUUAUACCCCCACAGCUAGUCCCCGAGCACCAUGUAUUGUGAAGUAACACACCAUCUUGAGCUUCUUCGACCAAUGAAAUUUUGACAUCUUCAAUCAGCAUGAAAAUUGCCCAGACAAUUGCGACGGUAUUUUGACCAAAUCUAAACAUAUUUUGAUCAACAUUGACAUCGAAGAAGCCAAUUGCUCGAAGAAUGCAUGGUGCUCUUGAGAAAAAAUAUAUCUUUUCCGGUGAAGUGUGCCCACUUUACUUUUCCGAAAAGUACGGAUCCUCAAUAAAGCAAACAUAUUCACUGCAAGGUGAUGUGUGCCCACUUAGUCCCCGAGCCUGGUAGUAGGUGACGUAGGCACGUGGUGCUAGGGUCAAAAGAAAAUUUCCCAAAAUAGUUUUGAAAUUGAGAUGCAUCGCCAGAUGCAUCGUACCGAUGUAGUCCCCGAGCUUGCUGGAAGGCGAAGCAUGAGCCUUGUAGCAAGGUCUAAAAAAUUAAAAUUAUCCAGUCCUCGAGCAUCUCAUGCUCAUUAGCCAUCGAAUAGACUUAUCGAUUGGACGAGCUGGUCAACCAGUCCCCGGGUGUUCAAUGCUCGGAAAUCGAUACAGCUCGCUGAUUCCCGAACUAAUAGACUAUGCGACCAGUCCCCGAGCAUCAAGCGCUCGGUGGUCGGUGCAAUCCCCACAAAUUUGAUCGACCAGUCCCCGAGCAUCGAGUGCUCGGUGGUCGGUGUAGUCCUUGAAGUUCCGAGUUGAUAGACUGGGCGACCAGUCCCCGAGCAUCGAGCGCUCGGUGGUCAGUAUAGUCCUUGAAGUUCCGAGUUGAUAGACUGGGCGACCAGUCCCCGAGCAUCGAGUGCUCGGUGGUCGGUAUAGUCCUUGAAGUUCCGAGUUGAUAGACUGGGCGACCUGUCCCCAAGCAUCGAGUGCUCGGUGGUCGGUGUAGUCCUUGAACUGUUGAGUCUCUACCAUUUUUUGUCUGCUUGUUUUGAAAAAUUUUACCACAUAAAUGUUGACGUGACGAGACCUCCUGACGGGAUGUCAGAUGGCAGCAUGAAAAGUUGCGCCUGGCAACUGUACAGCCGCCCUUUGCGCGGUUUGAGAAAAGAAAACCAUCAAUUUGUACGAAAACUCCGCCGCAUUAAUUGUCGAUAAUCAUUGAAAACCGAAGCGCCGCGUCCGCCGUAUGGCCCGCCCACUUCCCAAGAAUGCGGGAAGUGAGAGGGGUGGAGUUGCAGUUUACUAAAUCCUAACAUUAACCCCGCAUUGCUUACCCUGCCAUUGCCUUCAAGCUUUCCGCUCUCGCCUUCUUCAACCACCUGCAUCCUCCUAGCUCGAAACCACUCCCGCACCUCCAAUGGUGAAGAGCGACUCCAAGGAGAGGGCCGAGCUGAUGGCCAAGGAGUGGAAGAAAUCCCGCGGCACCGCAAAGUCCCUCGGUGACCUCGUCGAUAUGGGACUGCUGCACAGCCCGGAGCUCGGCGGCUGGAGGGCGCCGGAGGGGGAGAGCUACCCCGACCCCCGCGCCGGUGAGAUCGUAGUGUUCGAGGAUUUCAUUAAGAGGGGUUUUGGGGUGCCUGUUCAUCCUUUUUUUCAAGGUCUUCUUUUGUAUUAUGAGAUCGGGAUUUGCAAUCUGCACCCGAACUCGAUCCUUCUUAUUUCCACUUUUAUCCAUUUGUGCGAGGCCUAUGUCGGCAUAGAACCGCACUUCGAUCUCUUUCGCUAUCUUUUUUGUUUAAGAAAGAAGGGAGCGGUUGGAGGCUCCAAGGUUGCAGGUGGAGUAUACCUUAACCUUCGCGACGGGAUGAAGAACCGUUACCUGCACUGUCCAUGGAACACUUCCCUAACCGAAUGGUAUAGGAAGUGGUUCUACAUCAGGGAAGAACCGGGCAGCUCCACGUUCUGCGACGUGGGGUACAUCCCCGAGAAGAGGAUAAGCUUGACCGACCGCCCAGAGUUCGACGGCCAAGUGGCGGAUCUAAUGAAGCUGAUCGACUGGUCGCGCUUGGACGGGUUGGGCGUGGUCGGCAACUUUGUAUGUUGUCGGGUGAUGCCCUGCCAGAAGAGGGUGCAUUCGUCGUACGAGUAUGCCGGGAGCCUGGACCCGACCAGGAUGCAGCCUGAGGUCUUGGAUAAGGCAAAGGUGCAGCAGCUGUUGAACGAGCUGUUCAACUUUGCGGACGGGGGCUUCGUCCGUGGCAGUGAUCGGGUGCAAGCCUUCAAGUUGGGGCGACCAGCACCUAAGGUAUCUUACCAGUUAUUUCUCCUUAGCAUUUAUUAUUGUCAGUUGCUGACUUGUCUUUGUUACUUUUGCAGAUCGGAGAUGUUGACCGGUGCACAGUGUAUGUGUCACUGGCGCCUGGGAUGGAGAAUCCCGCAGGGGAGGAUCCGCCGGUGGAGGACGCUGCUCGGUGUGAUCGGUACACCAGCAGUGAAGAGGAGCAAGCCCGUCCGGCCCCGACCACCGAGGAGAGAGUGGCGGGGAAAAGGCCAUUAGCAGCAGAUCCUUCGCCUGCGCCGACGCUGCCGGCAGAGAGCAGCCAAGCGCCAAAGCGCCGUCGGCUCGUCCGGAUCACCGACGACGACGACGAGGAGGAGGAGGAGGCCGCACCAUCGCUGGUCCGAAGGCCUCGUAGCCGUCCGGACAGUGCACCGGCCACUACGGAUCAGGUGGCCAGCGACCCUCCUGCGCCGCGCGUUAUGGAAACGGCGGCGCAGGUGCCGACCGGCAGGGCUAGGAGGAGGUUCAAUGCGGCCCAUCGUCGAUCAGAUCUGUAAGUGUUCGACUUACGCACUUUGGCGAUUGUUUGUUUUUUUUUGCUGAAAAUGCUGCUUUGUUCUUUAGCGCGGCGUCGGACGUCAACCCCGACCACGCCGCCGACCAGAGGGUGGCCGAGCCUGCUUGUGCCGCUGAGGACGCGGCGCCGCAAACCGCGGAGCAGCCUGCGGCUGCAGCCGUGCGUGAGAGCGCCGAGGAGCUCCCGGCCUCGGCACAGACUGCGGCGAGCAGCCCGACAAGGGUCGAGGAGACUACGGCGAUGCCUCCCCCGAGUAACGCCACAGAAGGGGAGGACAGAGCCCUGACCCCUCCCCCCGUCGAAGGGAGGGAGGUCCCAACGCCACCCCGGGCAGGAGCCUCUUCGACUGCAGGCUCCCCGGGCCCGGUCCAGGGGCCGGUAAUGCCUGCGACCACCACCGGGGGCGAUGCAGCGGGCGAGGGAACCCGAGCAGCCUCCGACGACGAGGUGGAGGAGAUUGAAGGUCGUCCUCGUGAUGGCCGCCAACACGUAUAUGUGUGGCGCCAACGCGGGGACCACUUUAUCGGGCACGAGGAGCUCGCUGAAACAGAAGAGGCCACCAGAGUAGAGCGCGCGGCCAAGCGUCUCGUGGACGACGUCAAGGUAAGUGAUCCUUUGCGCUGUUCGACACUGUUUGUGUUGUCUUGCUUGGUCAACAUAUGUUCGUUUUGUAGGGCGCAAUGAAAACGGCGAAGUACCGGAAAAGGUGCUUCGACCAAAUAGAAGGCAUCGUGGCCGAGAACAAGGCCCUGACCGCGGAGGUGGACCGGCUGCGGUUGGAGGUUGGGGAGAAGGUGGCUGAGGUGAACGCCCAGGAGGAGCGUCGCCUCGAGCUCACUCGUCGCUUGGCCGACCAGUAUCGGCGGCGGUCAGGUCAGUCACGUGCUCCGAGCAGCUGUGUGUAGCGGCGUAGUUUGCUUUGCUGACCAGGUUAUGGUUCACGUAGAUUUGGAGGAGGAGGUGGCGUGCCUCCGACAGGAGAAGGAGCAGCUCGGUCAAGAGCUUGCCGGGGCGCUGGAGGCCAGUCGCCGAGCAGGGGAGGAGCUGGGCCAGAGGGACCGGGAGUUGUCUGGUAUCACGCGCCGCCCCCGUUAUUCGCUGCUUAUUGCUCUUUUUGAUAUGCUGAGUCUAACAUCUUCCUCGAUUUGCAGUGCUCAAGGUGAACGCCAAGAAGCACCUGGAUGAGCUGGUUAAGGAUCGGGACUCCUGGAAGGUUAACUGUUGUAGGAUUUGGAAAGGAGUGGCCCCAGUCCUGGACUUGAUCAGUCCCGAGCUCCCGGAGAGCCAGCCCCGCGCGCCGAGAUUGACGCCAGUUGAAAAGGCGCAAAGGGCGUGGGACAGGCUUCAGCAGUUCGUGAAGGACGCCGGGGAGUUUGCUGGCACGCAUAUCCUUAGCAUGGUGCGCACCCACUACCCCCUGGUCGACUUGACCAGGCUGGAGAAGGGGUAUCCUAAGGAGAUCGGCCCGCAGGAGGCGGAUGAGCUUCGGGGUGGUCUGCUGGACUUGUCGUCGACGGUGAUCGGCGACAUCAAUCUAUGCGGAACGGCCACUCCCCCCGACCAGCCGGGCUCAGACAGGUCGGCCAGGGAGCUGUCUGGUGCGUCUAUUGCGGGAGAUGGGCGGUCGACGCCUGCGGUCUCAACCAGCCAAGCGCUGGUGGCCCCGACCCCUUCGUCCGGGCAGCAAGGCCAGGCGGGUGAUCAGCCCGAGCAGUAGGCCAGUAGGGUAGUCUGUAGGAGUAGACUAGUGUCCGCCCGUCAGGGUAUUUAUUGUAAACUUUGUAUGUAAAGUUUGUAAUAAAGUUUGCUUUUGUCAUGACUGUUAUUUUGAGCGCUGUACAAUUAUCUGAGUGACGUGCCACUGUGUUUGAUUCAUAGUUGCUAAGAGCUUCCGUCGCAGAAGACUUUCCGAGCUCUGCGUGUAAACAAAGUAUAGCCAAAAAGAAAAACUUUUAUUAUUGACAGCUAUAAGGGAUUUGCAAGCAAAAGUUACUAGAACUUAUGGAUAAAAUCGGCGCAGUUUGUCUAUGUGCCAAGAGUUAGGCACACGUGUUCCGUCUGGAUAUGCCAAUCUGUAGGAUGUGGGUCGUGUGACUUCAGCGACCACAAAGGGUCCUUCCUAGGGAGUUGAUAACUUGUGCAUUCCUUCUUGGCUUGUUUUCCACCUGAGUACCAGAUCGCCGACCACGAAGGAACGGUCCUUAACGUUCCUGUUGUGGUACCGUCUAAUUGCCGCAAGAUACAUUGCUGUUCGAAGGCACGAAUUUAGACGCUUUUCUUCCAUGCAGUUGAUUUCGAGUUCCCUGGUUUGUCAGCCGUUGACUGGUCGAAGUUCUCAAUCCUUGGAGAUCCGAAGGUUAUGUAAGAUGGCAACACUGCCUCGGUGCCGUAAACCAUGAAGUAGGGUGACACCCCAGUGUUCCGACUAGCCUGUGUUCGGAGACCCCAGACCACAGCCGGCAACUCUUUCAUCCAUCGGCCAGGUGCUCUGUCGUUCUCGGUGUACAACCUUUUCUUUAGGGCGUCGAUGAUCAUUCCGUUUGCACGUUCAACUUGGCCAUUUGCCCGUGGGUGAGCUACUGACACGUAUUUUAUGACUAUGCCUCUGUCAUCGCAGAAGUCCCAAAAUGUGGUGCCAGUGAACUGAGUACCCAGGUCGGUGAUUAUACUGUUUGGGAUCCCAAAUCUGUGUAUGAUUUGAUUGAGGAACUCCACGGCCUUCUCGGAGGUUGCUUUGACCAGUGGCAUGUACUCAAUCCACUUUGAAAACUUGUCGAUUAAUAUGAAGACGAACUUGAAGUUACUAGGGGCCGACUUAAAUGGCCCGAUCAUGUCGAGCCCCCAGCAGGCGAAAGGCCAGGACGACGGGAUAGUUUGAAUCUCAUGAGCAGGUACGUGGGUCCUUUUAGCGAAGAACUGGCAUCCCUCACAGUGUCGGACCAGUUUUUCUGCGUCAUUGACCGCGGAUGGCCAAUAAAAACCUGCUCGAAAAGCUUUCCCGACCAGCGUUCUGGAGGCAGCAUGAUUACCGCAGGAUCCGGCAUGUAUGUCGCCUAGGAGCUUGAUGCCAUCAUCCUGGGAUAUGCAUUUGAGCAACACUUCAGAACUUGCAUUUUUUCGCAUAAGUUUGCCGUCCACUAGUAUGUAAUUCUUUGAUCGUCGAAUGAGGCGCUCGUUCUCUAUUUUAUCCUGAAAGCCUGACCCGUCCGAUAUAUAUCUGAUGAAUGGGGUGCGCCAAUCGCGGUUACUGGUUGUCGGAGUAACGUCGUCUAUGAGCAUUGCCUCAUGGAUGUCCUGGACGAAAACACCUCGCGGGAUCUGGGCCCGAGAUGACCCUAACUUUGACAACGCAUCUGCUGCCUGUUUCUUAUCCCGGACCACGUGGAUGUACUCUAUGCCAUAGAAGUUGGUUUCCCAUUUGCGUAUUUCUUUGCAGUAGAGAUCCAUCUUCUUGUGGGUUGCGUCCCAUUCCUUGUUGAGCUGGUUGAUAACUAAAGCGGAGUCGCCAUAGACAUAAAGGCGUUUGACUCCCAACUCAACGGCUAGUCGGAUGCCGUGCAGGCAUGCUUCGUAUUCGGCGACAUUGUUUGAUGCCGGAAAAAGGAUCCUAAGGACGUAACGCAGUUUGUCCUUGUUAGGAGACACAAAAAGAAUCCCCGCGUCGGCGCCGUUGAUGUUCAAGGACCCGUCGAAGAACAUCGACCAGUGAUCGGAGACGUCGGGAACGGGAGGCUCGUUGAGAUCCGUCCAGUCUGCAAUGAAGUCGACCAGGGCCUGAGACUUGACUGUGGUGAGGCUCUGGAAUUCCAGGGAGAAUGGGCAUAAUUCCAUUGCCCAUUUUACAAUUCUGCCGUUGGCGUCUUUAUUGCGCAGAAUGUCCCCAAGAGGGAAACUGGUGGUUACCAAGACUCGAUGGCCGUCGAAGUAGUGCUUUAGCUUUCUCGAUGUUAUUAGAAUGGCGUAUAUGAGCUUCUGUAUUUGUGGAUAUCUGGCCUUGGACUCGUUGAGGACUUCGCUUAUGAAGUAAACGGGUCUCUGGACCUUGUAGACAUGAGCUGGCUCGUCUCGCUCGACCACUAUUGCCGUGGAAACAACCCUGUCGGUUGCAGCAAUGUAAAGGAGUAGGUCUUCAUUGGGCUGAGGCGCUGUAAGAACAGGUGGUGAAGUGAGGAAAUUCUUAAGCUGGGUGAACGCAGCGUCGGCUUCCUCUGUCCUGUUGAUGCAAAACUGAUCUGCAAACACAAAGGGCUAAUACCCGAUUCAAACGUUAAGGCGUGCCAGCCGAUUUGACCUUGCUAUCGGCAAAGGUGAUAACUCGAAUACUUUAGUCCUGACAACAGCGAUGCGCCCGGAUGUCACGGCUAAGAGGUAUUCACGCGGAACUUGAGAACACGCCGAGCUUAAGUCGAUGAAUUCCUAAGAACUCGUAACAAAAGGAAAAAGUAUGACGAAGUCGUCGAAAAGUAAAUGCUGGAAUAUGAGUAAAAAACGUGUGUUUGAUUCAUUGAUUGAUGAUUUAUUACAAGGCCCUAGGGUCUAUAUUUAUACCCUGCUCAAAGAGCUACAACCAGACACGAUUAGAAUUCGAAUUCCAAAUUACACGGAAUCCGUAUACAAAACGAUGCAAAUAAUUAAGGAAAUAACAAAACUAUCCCUCGUGACAAACCGAAACUCCUCCACAUAACGACCGGCAGCUUCCGGACUCCCUCUUUGCAUCAUCGGCAGACCCUUUGCCAUAGUCAUCGGCAGACUUUCUUAUCUAGCCAUCGGCACCAUAUUACUGCCUAUGGACUUAGUCACGUUCAACUUCUCCCUCAUCGGUAACCAUCCUCAUCGGCAACCCACUUUGUAAACAUCGUACUGCCACCUUAUCCUGCCAUCCUAGACACGUGCCCAAAAAUGGUGUCAACACAUGCCCCCCAGUUUCGGAGUAUAAAACUAUUAAUGCUCCGAAAUUCUCUGCAGUAAUGAUGCCUUUUCCCGCAAUUAAUGCUCCUAAUCUGGUAACCGACAACCUCAAUCUGAACAACUCUGAUCCUAUUCCUCCGCAGAUUCCUCGAAAUCCCCAACCUCCUAAACAGGCAUUUUUCUCAGUCGUACAUCGGCAACAAUACCGUUACAAAGAUCUGCCGAUGAUCUGACCAGGAUAUUCGCACAAACGGUUACUUCCCCUCUAUCCGCCCAUCGGCAAUAUGACCGUUAUAGAAUAUUGCCGAUGGACCGACCAGGAGAUCUCGCACAGUAAAAUAUCUUCAGAUAAUGACCGCUUCCCGUCAAAUCACCUGCACAAUCCCUGGAUUACCGUGCGAACAGUUACCAUAUCCACCUGAGUACCCUCGGAUUUCUCGGAUGCGGCAAGGAGAUAAGUCGGAUUUGCCCUUGCCCAUUUUGUCCUAUAAAUAGUUCGUUCUUGGGUACUCCUUCCCCAUCACACCAUUCUACUACCCAACUUUACUUUUCCAGCGGCGGCGCCACCAAAAACUCCUAAGGUCUCCGACAAGUACCCCUCUUCACCAACUCCGGCGCCUUCACACACUUCCUUCGCAGCAAGAUGGCCGUCGGGUUCGUCGUCCCUGAGGUCAAAUCUCCACCCCGUCUUCUGUAUUUUUUCUUCAUAUCCCUGUUCACUCGCAAUUCAUUUUACUAAACAUCUUCCUUUUCUUUCCUCUUUGUAUUUCUUUUUACGCCCAAAAUCACUAGGAAUUGUCCAACAAAAUUGUCAUCCCCACCGAUCAACCACACCUUCAAUGCCUCGGCCCUCUAGGGGACCCAGAUCCAACUGACCUUAUCAACGCAGAAACCAACAGGAUCCCCUUCAGAGCCGAAAAUUUUUCCUUAGAUCUGUGGAAGGACACCUUCCGCUCUUGGCCCAGCCCAACUGUAGGGUGGAAAGACUGGUUCUUGAGGGUCAGCAACUCUAAUGAAGUUCAGUGGGGUGAAAGGAAUCUAGCCCAAUGCAUUAGAUUGUCCAUUGCCGAUAUGCAUAGGAACGAGUCACUGCUGAUAGCUGCAUCCUACUUUUGGUCAGACACCCUCAAUGCUUUUGCCUUUGGCCACGGCCCUGCUUCUCCUACUCUUGCCGAUGUAGCCAUGCUUACUGGUCUAGAUAUAUCUUCUGCCGAUAGCACCCACCUUUUUGAUACUGCCCCUAGUGCCAAAGUGGAGACUCGCGCUAUCGGCGGUUGGUCGGGGUACAUUCAGAGGUACCGUGGGAAAGAAUCUGUCACCAUAAAGGAACAAACCACCUUUCUAAACAUGUGGCUGGACAAGUUUGUAUUCUGUGGUCGAUCGGCAGGACCGACUUCUGUCUACCUAUCGGCAGCAGAAAGACUGGCUAACGGUGGCCGAUUCCCUCUUGGCCGAUACUUGCUGGCGCUGCUUACCACCUUCUCCAUCAAGUAGCCCAGAAACUUCUGCUCGGCCAAUCCACUGGCAACUUGGGAGGCCCCUGGUGAUUUGUCAACAUGUGGCUCAAUCUGCAUCUGCACAAGCGUCUCAACUUCAACCUGUUCACACAGCGUUUCCCAAGAGAUAUAGCUGAAAACCAUGUAUUGGGUGAAGAGGAAUCGGCAACACGCGCCCCCUUGAACUUUGGCGAAGCUGUCAUAGUUCUGCCUGGUUCAGGGGGUAAUCCAGAUCAGAUUGGCCGAUUCUUCCAGACUCUGUAUGAGGGUUUGACCAGAGACGAACGACCAUGGUUGGCUUAUGAUGACCCAGAUAGCAUGCUCCCUCUGACCUUCAAUCCAUUUGAUGAAGCUCUCGACAGGGACAAUGUGGUGAUAAUGGCAAUUGUGACUCCUAGAAUCAUUCCAGUGAAUUUCUUUGGUAGCACAAAAACCUCCCCUCAAACUUACGAAUUUUACAAUCCAUCGGCAUUAGCUCGCCAGUUAGCUUUCGGCCAGUUGCCGAUUGCACUUCCUUAUGCCGAUGUGAUAAAACCCAGAGAAACUAUCAACAACCUUCUUGAGUGGACUCGAGCAGCCCAACUACCACCAAACGCCGAUAUAGAUGUAGAUCUGUCAGAAUGGGUUCCGGCUGCUUUUAUCACUCAGGCAUACAAGUUAUGGUGGGCAGAAUGGAAAGAGCAUCUAUUCUGCAGAUCGGCACUUUCAUACCGCGGCAUGAUUGACUCCGAAUACGAAGUUCCCGAUGACACUGUAAGUAACUCAAACCAACGUUUCAUUUUCUCAAUAUUACUUCCAUCGGCAGCUUACCCUUGUAUUCCUUUUGCAGGUUGACAAUAUUCCUCCAUUGGUUAGCAGGAGUGGCAAGCCGAUCGACUUGUUUCCAUCAGGCCCAAUUUCCUCAAUCGGCCACAAUGCUCCCACUCUAGCUUCCAUCGUGCAUCGGGGUGUACGCCUCAGGAAAGUCACCACCAGAAGAACCCAGACAUCACCAACGGUUGCUGCUCCCACUCUUGCGCGGGCUUUCAAGGCAAUUUGUCAAAUCUUUUCCUUUAUGCUGACUAUCUUUAUAUCGGCUAUAUUUAUGCUUAUAAACUCUUGUUCAUUAUUGCAGCAAACCGGCGCAUCGGCGAAAGCCAGGUGUGAGAGUACCGAUGCCCCCCAGUCUAGCCAACCCAAGAGAAAGGGCACCACGGGUGCUAAGACUGGAACAAAGCGCCAGAAGGUAGCAACUCCCCCUCCUCCUCCGGUAUCUCCAAUUCCGGUGCAGUCUUCUCCUUCUUCUCCAGAAGCCCAGCCACAGCAAGCACCAUCUCCCCCACCUAUGCAGGAAGCACCACAGAUAGAAGAACCCCAACAGGAAGGACCUCAAACAGAAGAUACAUCAGCUGACAUGGAUGAACAAACAACUGGCCCGGUGGGUCCAGUUAUACCAUCGGCAGUUCUCCCGAUUCAGACAACCGUUGUCCCUCCUCCAGGUAACAUACUUUAACAAUAUCGCUACCGAUGAACUUAUUCUUAUUUAGUCUCAUAACUCCCUUUGUCUUCUUUAAGUUGAUAUCGUUCCAUCGGCAAUCUCAGCCGAUCAACCUGUAGCUCCAUCGGCAUCUUUGGCCGAUCAGCCUGCAGCUCCGUCAGCACUUCUCAGUCAAAGACAAGAGAUCGCCUUGAAGCAAGUAAGUCACCGUUUACCGUUAGCACUAUUUGCCGAUUCUCUGAGUAUGAGCUAAUUUUGCUUUCCCUCCCAGGAACAAGAUUCUCCCGAUAGCCUGUUCUCCUUCGCCAUCGAUCUCUCUGAAGAAGAAGGUGAAGAAGCAAGCUCUUCUUAGACGGUCGGCAUCACAUCGGCAGAGAUCAGGGUCAGGCUGGAAGAAUUGUCAGCUCUCCUUCACCAGGACACAGCACAAUUGGUUGAUGAUUCCGACCCUACCAAGACCCUGUUCAGAACUCUCAGAGGCCAAAUCCCAGCCGAUGUUGAAGAAAUCCUGUUCCAAGCCGCUCAUCUGGAGAGUCGCCAGCUGCAGUACCAAAGAGCUUCUCGGCGGCUUGCCGAUAGAGCCGCUCAGACUCAACUCUCCGAUGAAAUGAGGAAAGAGAAGCUCUUGACCGAUGAGAAGCACAAGAACAUCGGUAUCCUGAGAUCUUCUGGAGACGCGCUGAAGCAGAAGAUAUCCGAUCUAUCGGCAAGAAAAGAAUCCCUGUUGGCGGAGCUCAAGGAAGUAGAGAACGCUCUGUCCCAAGCCCAACAGGAAGAGAGCCAAUUGCCAGAGACCAUCAGGCUUCUUGAGCACGAGCGAAAUGCUCAUGGUCGCAAGGCACUUCAACUGAAGAAGAAGCUGAAGCCGAUAGAAGGUUCUGCCGAUGAUGACAUCAAGGAGAUAGAAGCAGCCAACCAAAUUCGGCUACGCGCUAUAUCGGCAAUCCAGACGCUGCUUAACACAUAGAGUUUCCAUCGGCAUUGUAUCUGCGCUUUCCUGCUUCCUCAGCUUUUAGUCUAGCCGAUAGGACUGUUAUCGGCACCUAAACUUUUGAAACACCAAGUCUUGUCCCCAAGCAUUUGGAUCCAGCCGAUAGGAGUGUUAUCGGCACCUAAACUUCUAUGCAUCAACCCAUAUACUGGGGUAGUACUUCUUUAAAUAUUUGCCGUUUAAUGCUCUGGGAAAUUCAAUUCCUUCGAGGGUUUCUAGAAUGUAGGCAUUACCAGGAGCCGAUCGACUUAUCCGAUAAGGACCCUCCCAAUUAGGAGACCACUUUCCAAACUUCGAACUUUUGGUCCCAAUUGGUAAAAUUAAUUUCCAUACCAAAUCCCCAUCGGCAAACUCUUUAGCCUUCACUUUCUUAUCAUACCAUCUAGCAACUCUCUUCUUAGUUUCUUCUAUACUCAUUAAAGCUUUUAACCGAUGCCCUGCUAGAUCGUCCAAUUCAUCGGUCAUCAAAGUGGCAUAACCAUCGGAAGUUAAUUGAUCUUGAAAAGAUAAUCGCCUAGAUCCAGCCUUAAUUUCCCAAGGCAACACUGCAUCAUGUCCAUACACCAAUUGAUAGGGUGAUACUUUGGUCGAUCCAUGACAAGCCAUCCGAUAAGACCACAAUGCUUCAUUUAAUAAUGUAUGCCACCGCUUAGGAUUUUCUUCAAUCUUUCGUUUAAUAAGCUUGAUAAUUCCUUUGUUAGACGCUUCGGCCUGCCCAUUGGCUUGAGCAUAAUAAGGAGAAGAAUUCAACACUUUAAUUCCCAUACCGAUUGCGAAUUCAUCGAACUCCCCCGAUGUGAACAUGGUGCCCUGAUCGGUAGUAAUCGUUUGGGGAAUCCCAAAUCGGUAAAUAAUAUGCUCCUUCACAAAAUCAAUCAUAUUGGCCGAUGUGACUUUCUUCAAAGGAAUAGCUUCAACCCACUUAGUGAAAUAGUCAGUGGCAACUAGAAUGAACUUAUGCCCUUUGCUAGAUGGUGGAUAAAUCUGGCCGAUCAGAUCGAUGGCCCAUCCCCGGAACGGCCAGGGCUUUAUUAUAGGAUUCAUAGCCGAUGCGGGUGCUCUCUGGAUAUUACCAAACUUUUGACAACCUUGACAUCCCUUGAAAUAUUUAAAACAAUCUUCAAGUAUGGUUGGCCAAAAAUAUCCAUUCCUUCGAAUCAUCCACUUCAUCUUAAAAGCUGACUGAUGCGCUCCACACACACCUUCAUGGAUUUCCCCCAUCAAACUUCUAGCUUCAUCAUCACCCAAGCAUCGGAGAAGAAUUCCGUCGAUAGUUCGAUAAUACAAUUCAUUUUCAAGGAGCACAUACUUGGUUGCUUGAAAUCGAACCCGUCUUUCAACUUUUUUGGAUGGAUCUUUUAGAUAAUCAAUAAUUUCUUUCCUCCAAUCACCGGCACCGACUGCCGAUGUCGCAUUAAUCAUUGGCUGAUAUCCCGAGGCAUGCUGAGCUAACCGAUUAGCGUCUUCAUUAUGCAAUCGGGGAACAUGCUCCAAUCGGAAAUCCUUGAAUUCCUUUAACAGUUGCAUACUUCUCUCGAAAUAAGUUAUGAGAACUUCACUUCGGCAUUCAUAGCUUCCGGCCAAUUGAUUUAUAACCAACAUAGAAUCCCCGAAUAUUUCAACAGCAUCAGCACGAACUUCUCUUAACAACUCCAAUCCCUUGAUCAGAGCUUGAUACUCAGCCUGAUUAUUUGUUGAUGUGGCAACAAUCGGCAAGGAAAACUCAUACUUCCUCCCCUUAGGGGAAACUAAUACAAUGCCGAUUCCUGCCCCCCGGUCACAGGUAGAUCCAUCAAAGAAGAGCGUCCAGGGUACAAUUUCCAAGGUUUCCACUAGACCGCAAUGCUGAGUCACAAAAUCGGCCAUAAUCUGCCCUUUAACUGCCUUAGCCGAUUCGUAACGCAAAUCGAACUCCGACAGCGCUAAAAUCCAUUUACCGAUCCUACCACUCAUAAUCGGCAUAGAUAGCAUGUAUCGGACCAUGUCAUCUUUGCAAACAACAGUGCAUUCGGCCGAUAACAGGUAAUGUCUCAGCUUGAUACAUGAAAAAUAUAGGCAUAAGCAUAGUUUCUCAAUGGCCGAAUACCUGGUUUCAGCAUCAAUCAACCUCCUACUCAGAUAAUAAAUUACCCUUUCUUUCCCUUCAAAUUCUUGAACUAAAGCUGAACCGAUAACCGAUCCAUCGGUAGAUAAAUACAAUCUGAAGGGCUUCCCUUGUUGAGGUGGAACUAGAACUGGAGGAUUUACUAGAUACUUCUUGAUUUCAUCCAGAGCCAACUGCUGUUCUUCUCCCCAAAUAAACUCUUGAUCGGCUUUCAAUUUAGGAAGAGGACUGAAAGCACGAAUCCUACCAGACAAAUUCGAUAUAAAUCUCAUGAUAAAAUUUACCUUGCCGAUCAAGGAUUGGAGCUCGGUUUUGUUGGUAGGGGCCACUAUUUUAUUGAUGGCAUCAAUAGACCUUCGACUAAUUUCAAUACCCCUCUGAUGUACCAUGAAACCAAGAAACUGCCCUGCCGAUACACCAAAUGCACACUUGUUGGGAUUCAUCUUCAAUCCAUGCUUCCUUGUGCACUCUAACACUUUUUGUAAAUCGGCAAGAUGCUUUGAGAAAUCUCCAGACUUAACCACCACAUCAUCAAUAUAAAUCUCCACGAGCUUGCCGAUGAACUCAUGAAAUAUAAAAUUCAUAGCCCUUUGAUAAGUAGCACCAGCAUUCUUCAACCCAAAAGUCAUGACUAUCCAUUCAAAUAGCCCAACAUGACCAGGACACCUGAAUGCGGUUUUUGGAAUAUCCUCCUCCGCCAUGAAUAUUUGAUUGUAACCUGCAUUACCAUCCAUGAAGCUGAUGACCCAAUGACCAGCCGCAGCAUCAACCAGUAGAUCGGCGACAGGCAUUGGGUAUCCAUCCAUCGGCGUAGCUUUAUUGAGAUUCCUGAAAUCAAUGCACACCCGAAGCUUCCCGUUCUUCUUGUAAACCGGAACAACAUUGGAAAUCCACUCGGCAUACCGACACUGCCGAAUAAACUUAGCUUCAAUAAGUUUGGUGAUUUCGGCCUUAAUAUCAGGUAGAAUGUUAGGAUUACAUCGGCGGGCUGGUUGCUGAUGUGGCCGAAAUCCAGACUUGAUGGGUAACCGAUGUUCAACAAUUGAUCGGUCUAAACCAGGCAUCUCGGUAUAAUCCCAAGCAAAGCAAUCUUUAUAUUCCUUUAACAAACUAGUCAAUUGUUGCUUACUCUCAGGAUCUAAUUUAGCACUAAUAAAAGUAGGCCUAGGCUUAUCACCACUACCUAUAUCUACUUCUACCAAAUCAUCGGCCGAUGUGAAUCCCUGGCCUAAUUUUCCAUCAUCGGCGAAUCUAUCCAUUAAAAACCAUCGUCAGAACCGACUGCUUGGAUCGGUGGAAUCUCAUAAUCGGCAACUUUGAGAAAAUCUUUCUCCCAAACUUCUCCUGAAAUGCACCUGGUCCUUUCGUAAGUAUCCGCUUCUGCCGAUGCGAUAACAUAAGAAGAAUCUCCUGGGACAAUCUCAAUCUUGUCACCUACCCACUGAACCAAGCAUUGAUGCAUUGUAGAUGGGAUACAACAAUUGGCAUGAAUCCAAUCUCUUCCCAAUAAUAAGUUGUAAGCACCUUUUCCGCUGAUCACGAAAAAAGUUGUCGGCAAGGUUUUGCUGCCGAUGGUCAACUCUGCACAUAUCGCCCCCUUGACUGGAGACACGUUUCCUUCAAAGUCUUUGAGCAUCAUAUCGGUCUUGGUCAAAUCUUGAUCCCCUUUCCCAAGCUUCCGAUAUACUGCAUACGGCAUAAUAUUAAUAGCAGCUCCACCAUCAACUAGGAUCUUGGCCAUUGGCUGCCCAUCAACCCUUCCUUUGAGGAACAGAGCUUUAAGAUGCUGCCUCUCGUCAUCGGCAGGUUUCUCAAAGAUAGCCGUCAUCGGAUCCAGAGCCAACUGAGCUAUCUGAUCAGAAAAUUCCAACUCAUCAUCACUGGCUGGUGCAAGAAACUCCAUCGGCAACAUGAAGACCAUGUUGACGCCUGCCGAUGGACCUUCCCUCUUAGUGUCUGACGGCUGCCGACUUCCAGAGUUCUCUCCCUUGUUUAGCUCUUCUUGCCUUUCACGUUGCAAUCUCCUUUUCUGUGUCUUGGUUAAUCCUCCAGGGCACCAUGGAGGAAGUGGCCUUUGCCUUGCCGUCGGGCGUCGGUUCUCCCUUGACUCCAUACGAUGCGUGUUAGCAUCCCUGCAAAAUAUGAAUUCAUCGGGAACCCGCGCAUCAGCCAUUUCCUCGAGCUCUUCUUGGUUCCUGGGAAAAUAUUGGACACGGUCACUAAGUCUGUCGUGCCCACUAAAUCUGCCCCCCAGCCGGUCAUGAACUGACACCCUUCCUCUGAUCGGCCCAUUAAAUCGCCGUUCAUCAUCAUGAUAAUGCCGAUCGAUCCUAUCGUACCGAUCAUAACCGUUGCACUCAGGGCAGUCUCUGACAGUAGGAAGCUUGAUAUUUUCCUCCCAACAAUGGAUGAAGAAUGGACAAUUCCAAUGAUCCCUGUGCCGAUUCCACUCCUGUCGGCGUCUUUCUUCUUCCCGUCGAUAAUCUUCCUGCUGGCGCCGAUACCGAUCUUCCCAUUGUUGCCAUUUUUCUCGAGGCCUUCUAUGAGUUAUGACGAUACCAGAUCGAGGAGGCCUUCCUGAGCUAGUUCCUUCCUGGACCAAGCCCUUACUUCUUGCAUCGGCAGUAGUAACUUGAUGCUGAGGAUCUACCGAUGCACUCUUCUCAGCUGUCUCCGAUGUUAAGACCUUAGCCUUCCCCUUAGCAUCCAACAUGUUUGUCGGGAACGGAUGUUGGUCUAUCUUCAUCGGCUUCUGGGCUUUGGAACUGUCAAACUUGAUUCUCCCUGACUCUAUAGCCGAUUGCAGCUGCUGUCUGAAUACUUUGCACUCGUUGGUGUCAUGGGAAGUUGCAUUAUGCCACUUGCAAUAUCUCAUCCUCUUCAACUCUUCUGCCGAUGGGAUCACAUGGUUAGGUGACAGUUUGAUCUGACCUUCCUGGAGUAGAAAGUCAAAUAUCCUAUCAGCCUUAGCGGUGUCAAAAGCAAACUUCUCUGGUUCCUUCUGCCCAAAAGGACAAGACAUCGGCUUCUUGUUUUUUACCCACUCUGCCAAGCCGAUUACUGGUUCUUCAUCAGAAUCUGAGCUUGUUGCUUCAUCGACAAAUGACACUUUCCUAUUCCAUGCUCUUUUAGGCUCGAAAGGCUUGAUGUCUUGAUCAGAAAUCCUCUGCACCAAAUGACUUAAACUUUCGAACUCCUGAGAGGCAUACUUAUCCCUGAUAUGUGGCAACAAACCCUGGAAAGCGAAAUCGGCUAGCUGCCGAUCAUCCAGAACCAAGCUAUAGCAUUUAUUCUUGACCUCUCGUAUCCUCUGCACAAAACCCUCCACCGACUCAUCAUUACGUUGCCUCAACUUGACCAAGUCGGUGAUCUUCUUCUCAUGAACCCCCGAGAAGAAGUAUUUGUGGAAUUGCUUCUCUAGAUCAGCCCAAGUAAUUACUGAGUUGGGAGGUAAUGAUAUGAACCAAGUAAAGGCCGAUCCAGACAAUGAUGAUGAAAAUAGACGAACCCUCAAUUCGUCCCUGUUACCAGCCUCUCCACAUUGAAUGAUGAACCUGUUGACAUGCUCCAUGGUUGACGUGUCGUCCUGCCCGGAAAACUUUGUAAAAUCCGGUACCUUGUACCGAUGUGGAAGCAGGAUCAAAUCAUACGCGGGAGGAUACCGUGUCCGAUAAGAAUAAGUGUUGACUUUGGGUUUUAUCCCAAAUUGUUCCCUCAUUACUUCAGCAAUCUUAUCGGCCCAAUAUGCAUCGGCAUCUUGCCGAUGAGGCGGCUGCGGAUCUGGCACUUGGUGGCGAACCUCCACGUGUCUAUUCGGGACGUGAUCUGCACGGAACAUUGUAUUGAUCACCUGUCCUCCAAUCUGCGGACCACCAAACUGCUGUCCACCGAUUGGCUGUCCUCCGAGUUGCUGUCCAAAAUUCAUUGGCUGGUUGGGAAUCCCCUGACCUUGGAACCCGGGAUAGACCUGCCCUUGCUGGAACCCUAUAGUCUGGUAACUCUGCUAGGGCGAUUGUGGAAAGGCUUGCUGUCCAAGCCAUCCAUUAUUAGCGUUCAUCGGCAUAGGUGCUGCCGAUGAUUGGUAAUUGGGUACCGUCGUUGAAUUGACAUACCCCGACUGGGCCAUAGACCUCUGUUGCAUCAGCAUUGACUCUGCCGAUGCGUUGGGCAUCUGGAACAUUGAAUCUUGAGGAUUUCCAGUGUGAGGCCUUGUAGUAGUAGUUGUGGUAUACCGAGGACUCUGGUUCACCGGCGCAUUGGGAGGUGCCGAGGUCAUAGGAGUUUUGCCCCUCAUGUCAGUUACUUGUGAUGUUCCCGGUGUCAACUCUGGAGGCAUACCGUAACCCCACCAGUUGGGAGGAAGAGUCAACCCUGACAUUGCCGAUGCCAACAUAUCUGUUGUCAGUUUAUGCUGCCCAACUGAAAUUUGUGGGUUGGUUGUCAUCGGCAUAGAUAGUGCACCAGUAGUCCCCGAUGUACUUGGAGGGACGACAGAUUGUGCACUUGCAGUCGUCAAGGCAGCCGAUGGAGCCGUGACCUCUGGUGCCGUUGGCUGAUGGUGGGAGGGGCCCACAUAAUCUGGUGGAAUUUGUCCUUCCUUGAAAGUUCUUGCCACAGCAUUGAAAACCGUAUUAGACAGUACACCAGCUUGGUUAAUCAACGCUCGAUUGAUGGCAUUGUCAACCAUAUCUUGAAGCUUGCCAGGAUUGGCGUCAAAGGUAACCUGCCGUGGUGCCGGCAGUGCAUCUUUCUGGACCACUUCGCCGCUCCUGUUUAUGCUGAAAGACCUCAGGCAUUGCUGCUAGAACUCUUCCAUGGCUUGGGCAAUAGCUUGCUUCUGCUCAUCCUUGAGGUUGGCCUCCGUCACGGGGAUGACGUUCUCUUGAUCGAGGUCAGAGAUCGACAUGUUGAUCUUGAUCUUGAAUCCUGUCCCACUGGGCGUGCCAAAAGAUGUGUUGAUGCAAAACUGAUCUGCAAACACAAAGGGCUAAUACCCGAUUCAAACGUUAAGGCGUGCCAGCCGAUUUGACCUUGCUAUCGGCAAAGGUGAUAACUCGAAUACUUUAGUCCUGACAACAGCGAUGCGCCCGGAUGUCACGGCUAAGAGGUAUUCACGCGGAACUUGAGAACACGCCGAGCUUAAGUCGACGAAUUCCUAAGAACUCGUAACAAAAGGAAAAAGUAUGACGAAGUCGUCGAAAAGUAAAUGCUGGAAUAUGAGUAAAAAACGUGUGUUUGAUUCAUUGAUUGAUGAUUUAUUACAAGGUCCUAGGGUCUAUAUUUAUACCCUGCUCAAAGAGCUACAACCAGACACGAUUAGAAUUCGAAUUCCAAAUUACACGGAAUCCGUAUACAAAACGAUGCAAAUAAUUAAGGAAAUAACAAAACUAUCCCUCGUGACAAACCGAAACUCCUCCACAUAACGACCGGCAGCUUCCGGACUCCCUCUUUGCAUCAUCGGCAGACCCUUUGCCAUAGUCAUCGGCAGACUUUCUUAUCUAGCCAUCGGCACCAUAUUACUGCCUGUGGACUUAGUCACGUUCAACUUCUCCCUCAUCGGUAACCAUCCUCAUCGGCAACCCACUUUGUAAACAUGUCCAAGAAAAUUUUUCCGACGCCUUCAAGAGUUUGAAGAAAGGGAGGCCUUUUUCUCCUAGUCUAGAAAUGAAGCGGCUGAGUGCAGCCAUACAUCCGGUGAGCUUCUGAAUAUCCUUGACAUUUUUAGGUGGUCGCAUGUCGAGUACUGCUUUUACUUUUGAAGGAUUCGGCCGUAUGCCGUCGCGGCUGACGACGUUGCUGAGUAGUAGACCGGAAGGGACGCCGAAGAUGCACUUUUUGGGGUUAAGCUUCCACUUGUACCUAUUUAGCGCCUUGAAGGUUUGGUCUAAGUUGUCGAUUAGGGUGCUGGCGUCCCUUCUUUUGACGACGACGUCGUCUACGUAAGCCUCGACGAGGUCGUCACGAAUCUCGUCGUGGAGGCAUUGCUGGAUGGCCCUUUGAUAGGUGGCCCCGGCAUUUUUGAGUCCGAAGGACAUGGUCGUAUAGCAAUAUGCACCGAAAGGAGUAAUGAAAGAUGUUUUGAUCUGAUCGUCUUCCCUUAGCGAGAUCUGGUGAUAACCAGAGUAGCAAUCUAGAAAAGAAAGGAGUUCGCACAUUCUCCAUUCAUUAUUCUUUAGGACGACCACCUCGUCGAUGCGAGGGAGACCAAAAGGAUCUUUAGGACAGUGUUUAUUGAGAUCAGUGUAAUCAACGCACAUUCUCCAUUCAUUAUUCUUUUUGCGUACAAGAACCGGAUUGGCGAGCCAAUCGGGAUGAUACACUUCUUUUAUGAAUCCGGCUGCUAGAAGCCGUGUUAUUUCUGUCCUAAUAGCCUCCUUUUUGUCACGAGCGAACCAUCGCAACUUUUGAUUGAUGGGUCUUGCGGUCUUCGAGACAUUUAAGGAGUGCUCGAUCAGGUUUCGUGGGACGCCGGGCAUGUCUGCGGGUUUCCAUGCGAAGACGCUUACGUUGUCCCUUAGAAACCUGACGAGCGCGUCUUCCUAUUUAGGGUCCAGGUUGGCCCCGAUGAGGGCCGUCUUCUCGGGGCUACCUUCGACCAGCUGCACUUCCUUGUGUUCCUUGGAUUUUGAGUUCUUUCUGGCAGUCUCCUGCUCGGGUAGUCGAAGCUGGUCGGGGGGUAGCUGUGCAGCCUGGGUUGCCGUCUCUGCCAUGCGGAUUGAGAGAUCGAUUGCUUCGGUGAUCUUGAAGCUCUCCUCCUCGCAAGUAUAUGCAGUGUAGACAUUGCCCCUGACGAUUAGGACGCCUUUCUCCGUGGGCAUUUUAAGGACCAGGUAUGAGUAAUGUGGGACUGCCAUGAACUUUGUUAGCGAUGGUCGGCCCAGUAUAGCGUGGUAAGUCCCGUCAAAGUCAGCGACCACGAAGUUGACGAACUCUGUUCGGAAGUGGUCGGAUGUGCCGAAUUGGACAGGCAAUGUUAUCUGUCCGAGGGGCACUGAACUCUGGCCGGGCAGGACUCCCCAGAAUUGAGCGUCGUAGGGUUUUAGCUGUGCCGGAGAUAACUUGAGAGCGGGCAGGCUGUUACGGAAAAGGAUGUCGAUGGAGCUUCCUUCGUCCACGAGCACCCGCUCGAAUCUGAUGCUGUUGAUGCAAGGGUCCAGGAUUAGAGGGAAACGACCUGGCUCUAGGAUAGCAGCCCACUGAUCCUUCCUGCUGAAGGAGAUCUCUCUGUGUGACCACGGGGGGAAUUUCGGGUCUGCGAUCAGGUCGUCCGAGCUGUCUAUGUUGAGGCAGGCUCUUUUUAGGAGCUUUCUUUCUCACUUAGAUUCGAUGGAGACCUUGCCCCCAAAGAUGGAGUGGACCACGUCGGUGGGACUGACAUACUGGUGUCGUGGGUCCCUAUCUUGGUCCUCGUCCUCAUCUUCAUGGUCGCGUCCGUCUUGCUUCCCAUUCUUUUUGGCGGAGUCGUCUUGGGCGGCUCGCUGUGUGUAAAUGUUUUUGAGGACGCGGCACUCUUCCAUGGUAUGGUUGGACUUUGGAUGCAGUUGGCACGGUCCCUUCAAUGUUUUGUUGUAGUCUUCUUGGUAGUCCCGCCGCCCGUUGGGGCGUUUGACUGUAUUCACUUCGUGGUCAUGGUCGCGGGGGCGCUUUCCUCUGAAAUCGUCGCGAUUGUCGCGCCGCCUAUCCCAACCUUCCCUGUGAUCAUGGUUGUCGGGACGGCGGUGGUUCCUGUUGUCGAAACGACCGUGACUAUCAUCUCGCCGGGGAGGCUGGUCGGGACCUCUCGCAUCAUCCCGGAUGAUUUUUUCUGCGUCGUCGGCGUCGGCGUAAUUUUUAGCCGUGGCGAGGAGCUCGGCCAUCGUUGUUGGCCUUUUGCGCAACAGCUUGUUCCUCAGUGCUUCAUGGAAGCGCAGCCCCUUGAUGAAAGCAGAUAUGGCCUCGUCAUGGGAAAUCUUCGGGAUCUUAAGGCGCAUAUCCGAGAAUCGUCGGAUGUAAUCGCGCAGAGGCUCGUUUUUCCUGUCCCUUAUCCUUUCGAGGUCGUACUUGUUUCCAGGCUGCUCGCAUGUUGCGAUAAAAUUGUCGAUGAAAGCCUGGCGCACCUCUUCCCAAGAGUCGAAGGAGUCCUCGGGCAGGCCAAGGAGCCACUGGUGACCAGCCUGGUCGAGGACUACUGGGAAGUAGUUGGCCAUGACGUGCUCGUCUCCUGCUGCUGAUCGGACGGCGAUCUCAUAAAGAGUGAUCCAGUUUUCCGGAUUUUCCUUGCCGUCGUAUUUUUUGAGUUUCUCAAGCUUGAAAUUGCGGGGCCACACGACCUGGCGGAGGUGUGAGGAGAACUGCCUCAGGCCCGGGGGGCCGUGUGUUGCGUCAUAUUCGAUACGACGUAGGUUUUCGUGGACUGCUCUAUCCGUGGCGCGCCUGUUGAUGCGGUCUCGGGCGUCUUUGGGAGGGAUGUUGUAUCGAAGAUCCCUGUGCUAGUUUACUUCCUGACCACGCCCAUGAUUCUGCUCGCGGCGACCGCCAGCAUCCCGACCGCCAUCGCCACGCCGUGAGUCUUUUUGAUGAUUGUCGGGAGAACGGCUGCGGUGGUGCCUGCUGGGCUGCGGUGAGGUCCGGCUGCGGUGAGUCUGGUCGGAGGUGGCCUCCGUAUAGGAGACGGGUUGGGCUCUUUUGAGCAGAGUGGCUGUCUGUCCCAUUGCGGUGAUUAGAUGUGCUCGAACGCUGGUUCGGACGCCCUGGCACUCGGGAGUAUCAGGGAGCCGAUCUAAAUUGGCCAUGGCGACAGCCACGUUGGCGCUUGGCGUUUUGUAAACUGGCCGAUCCCCGACCAUGUCGAAAGCGUCACUGAGAUUAUGCGGCGGGAUUUGACGUUCCUCGUCCGCACGUCGUCGGGCGCGAUCGGCGUUACGCUGCUCGCGGAGCUGCCUCUGCUCGUCUGUUUCUCCAUCGACGACCGGCUCAUCGGCGCUGACAUUGAAAACAAUGUCUCCUCGCCGCGGUGGAAAGACCGGGAAACGAGGGAAGCCCGGAGGAUGUGAAGGCAAAUCCAGGUCGUAGUCCUCGUCUUCGGAGUUUAUGACCUCGGUGGGGACGGAACCAGUGCUCGAGUUUGUGCUGGAGGGCUGGCCGUCCCGUAGUUCUCGGAUCGUCAACAUGUUGACGUAAUGACGAGCUGGUCGACCGUUCCGUUUUGGCAGCCAACCCGCCUUGUUGAAAAGGGAUUGGACGUGCCGUGAGUAGAGAGAGGCCGAGUUGUUCAGACCACAUGGGUAAUCCUCCUCCGGGUUAGCCUCGAGCUUGACGAAUCGUCCUGAGGGAGUCGAGGUUAUUGUCAGAGACGUUCUCAGCCGUUCGUGUGUAACGACACGAGUUGGCCGGUGCGAGUUGAAAAAAUCCGUUAGAGCGGCUUGAUCAGGCUGGCGCGAGAUCCCAUCUAAUAGUUGGGAAGCUUCGAGUAGCUUGGAAUCAGUGCGAUCAAGUGCUUGGAGAAGAUCCGAGCAGUCGACCUCCUUCCCCUUGUAGCGUGGGAGUGGUGGUCGGGCGCUCGGUGCCGUCAUCCGAGUGGUCGGAGGCGACGUCAUCCCAGAUUGGAUCUGGGUUUCUUCCGAAACCGUGGUCGUGAGACCACCGCCGUGCGUCGUCCACGUGAUCUUGCCGACGGUGAACGUGAGGCCUUUAGGUACGGCCGCGGAAGCUGGAACUAUGACCAUCUUGUUCGCCGGAGAAGUUGUACGCACACCCCCUACCUGGCGCGCCACUGUCGACGAAAGCUGGUCGGCAGUCUACCUUGGGGUAUACCCACGGUAGUAGUUUAUCGGCAGACGGUGCGCAAACUACGAACUCGAUGAUGACGCAAGACACGGACAAGCUUUUUAUCCAGGUUUGGCCGCCGAGUUGGCGUAAUACCUACGUCCUGCGUCUAAUUGUAUUGAUUUGUGUUGAGAGAGUAAUGUGUCCUAGGGGGGGUCCCUUGCCCCUCCUUAUAUAGUCCGGAGGGCAGGGUUACAGAUCUGGAAACUAAUCCUAGUCGGUUACAAUUGCCAUAGAUAGUUUGAUAUCAAUUCCUAUUCUAACCGACUAGAAUCCUGCUUGAUUUCCACGUCUUGUUUCCUCGCGCGGAACUCCAAGCUGUCGGAUCAAGCCUUGAGCUUGUCUCGUAAUGGGCCAAGCCUCCUGGCCCAAGUCUAGCCGUAAGGGUAUAGGGGUUUAUACCCCCACACUCCUGGGUUACAUAGUCUCCCAACACGGCGCCGAGGUCAAUCCCGAGAAAGUCUCGGCCAUUGCGAGGAUGGGGCUGUUUCGAGACGUCAAGGGCGUGCAGAAAGUCACGGUUGCCUGGCGGCGCUAAGCCGUUUCAUUUCAAGAUUAGGGGAAAAGGCAUUGCCACUGUAUUGGCUCUUGAAAAAGGCUGAUCAUUUCUCUUGGACCCCUAAAGCCGAGCAAGUGCUCAACAACCUGAAAAGGACGCUGACCACCGCCUCGGUCCGGGUUCCCCCUUUGCCCACAGAGCCUCUGCUCCUGUACGUCGCUGCAACAACCCAGGUGGUUAGUGUGGCUGUGGUGGUCGAAAGGCUGGAAGAAGGACACGCGCUACCAGUCCAGAGGCCGGUCUACUUCAUCAGCGAGGUGCUCUCAGAGACUAAGGUACGGUAUCCCCAGAUUCAGAAAUUGAUCUAUGUCGUGAUUCUAGCCCGGCGCAAGCUGCAGCACUACUUUCUCGGUCACCCUAUCACGGUGGUCUCGUCCUUCCCCUUGGGCGAGAUCAUCCAGAAUCGAGAGGCCACAGGGAGGAUCGCCAAAUGGUCGGUCGAGCUCAUGAGUGAGACCCUCACUUAUGCGCCCCGCAAAGCCAUCAAGUUGCAAGCCCUGGCGGAUUUCAUCGCGGAGUGGACAGACUCUCAACUCCCCCCAGCUCAGGUUCAAGCAGAGCUGUGGACGAUGUACUUCGAUGGAUCUCUCAUGAAGACGGGAGUGGGGGCAGGCCUGCUGUUCGUCUCACCCCUUGGCGUCCACAUGAGGUAUGUCAUUAGAUACACUUCACCGCAUCUAACAACGUUGCAGAAUACGAAGCCCUCGUCAACAGGCUAAAGAUCGCCAUCGAGCUAGGGGUUCGGCGCCUCGACGUUCGGGGCGAUUCUCAACUCGUCAUCGACCAAGUAAUGAAGGCCUCGAGCUGCCAUGACCUAAAAAUGGAGGCGUACUGCAAGGAAGCACGCCGGCUCGAGGACAAAUUCCACGGCCUCGAACUCGUCCACAUCGCACGACGAUACAACGAGGCGGCCAACGAACUCGCUAAAGUUGUAUCAACUCGAGGUACCGUCCCACCCGACGCAUUCUUGAGAGAUCUGCACGAGCCGUAUGUCGACUUGAGCACGGGGGCUAACGUCGAAGCCCCCACUCCCCAUCCAACCGACACUAUCGAAGCCCUGCUAACGGCAGCAGAAGUAAUGGAGGUGGAACAGCGUCCCGGUCGACUGUUCGACUGGCGUACGCCGUUCCUUGAUUGCCUGAUCUGAUGUGAGCUACCGGAAGAUCGAUCCGAGGCCAAGUCGUACGUGAUCUACGGCGAAAACGAAGAGCUAUAUCGACAAAGCCCAACUGAGAUCUUGCAGCGCUGUAUCACCAUAGAAGAAGGUCGAAAGCUCCUCGAGGAUCUACACUCGGGGGCUUGCGGCCACCAUGUCGCCCCAAGAACCCUUGUAGGGAAUGCUUUCCGACAAGGUUUCUAGUGGCCAAUGGCCGUAGCUGACGCCAUAGAACUCGAGCCACAGGUGUCAAUUCUAUUCCAAGGAAACCCAUCUCCCUGCUCACGCUCUCCAGAUGAUCCCCGUCACGUGGCCAUUCGCGGUGUGGGGUCUCGACCUCGUGGGCCCUCUACAGAAAGCUGCGGGAGGAUAUACCCAUUUGCUGGUGGCCGUCGACAAAUUCUCCAAAUGGAUUGAGGCUCAACCCAUCACAAACAUCCGCUCCGAGCAAGCCGUCCUUUUCUUCACCGACAUUAUCCACAGGUUUGGGAAACCCAAUGUCAUCAUCACUGACAAUGGCACCCAGUUCACCGGCAAAAAGUUCUUGGACUUUGUUGACCGACAUCACAUCCGUUUGAACUGGUCUGCAGUAGCUCACCCUCGAACUAACGGUCAGGUCGAGCGUGCCAACGGCAUGAUUUUGCAAGGACUCAAACCAAGAAUCUACAAUCGGUUGAAGAAAUUCGGCAAGAAAUGGGUCGAAGAACUCUCCUCGGUCCUAUGGAGCUUAAGGAUGACGCCAAGCAGGGCGACAAAAUAUACCCCGUUCUUCAUGGUCUACGGCUCCGAGGCUGUGCUUCCAACAGACCUUGAGUAUGGGUCAUCUCGACUCAAAGCCUACAACGAGCAGACAAAUAAGGAGACCCGAGAGAACGCGGUCGAUCAACUCGAGGAAGCUCGAGACGUGGCCCUCCUCAACUCCGCAAGGUACCAGCAGAAGCUCCGACGAUACCACGACAAGCACAUGCGCAAAAGGGAUCUGAACAUGGGCGAUCUCGUCCUACGGCGACGACAAAGUAAUCAAGGGCGCCACAAGCUGACUCCACCAUGGGAAGGCCCAUACGUGGUGGCCAAGGUCUUGAAGCCAGGAAUGUACAAGCUCACGGACGAAAAAGGGGCGGUCUUCACCAACGCAUGGAACAUCGAACAGCUACGUCGCUUCUACCCUUAGAGCUUCAAAGCUUUGCGUUUUCACGCAUACUUUGUACCGAAAUCCUAUGAAUAAAUAUAUGAAUAAAGGAGAAUACCUUUUCGAGUAGUUUACGCUAUCACCGAACAAAUCUCGACGAUAGGAGGAAGUCCCAACUAUGACCAUCAUAGUCGAUACUCCCUCUGGGGCUAGCAGGGGGACCCCCCAGGUUCCUAAAAACCGAAUGACCUUUCCUCUUAAGUCCUAUACAAAACUUCACAAGAUCAAGUAGCAAAGGCACCUCGAGCCCCUUAAGGGCCGAGAAACGUCAAGCCUGAGAACCCCUACGCCUCGGGCUAUGGCAUCUCUACUCACUUCCUCACCCUUAAGGCAAUCUAAGACGCCUUAACAAAAGAUCGAACGAGAAUGCAAAGUUAGGUAGAAAAGGAAACAAAUGAAAUUCGAGCAUAAAAAUAAACCAAUAUACACAAUUCUUAAGACCAUUCAAGCCAUAGUGUUUACUUAAGACAAAAGAUAAGUACUUUACAACGGGUCUAGAUACCCAGAAUAGGCUCGCAGGCCUCAGUCCACAUUUCUGUCCCGACCACUGUCUUCCGACGCCCGAGCUAGUCUCAGGAGGGAGUACCUCCGACUCAAACAACCUUGCGAACCUUUCCCCAGGGACCUCUGCUUCGUCGAUCAAGACAUGGAGCCUCUCCUCGUUCUCGGCGUCAGUCUUGGAAAUGUCGGUGACAAAGCCAUGGGAUACCACCUCCAUGUCGUAGGAGAAGCCCGAGCAGACGACCGCCAUCGCUCGCUUCACCCCGGUAUGAAGGGCAUCCCGCACUCGAUCCCUCAGCAUGGCACCCAAGUAGCACAGCUGGUCGACCAGCGCAUCGCCUCGAGCCACCUCCCUCAUCUCAUCCACAGGCUCAAGCUCCCAGGAGGCUGAAAGGUCGCUUAUCGCAGUCCUUAGUGACCAUUCAAAGCAACCUCCCCCUCGAGCUGAGCCCUGGCAGAACGGGCGUCGGCCUGGGCAGCCAGGAGAUCAUCCUUAAGCCCAACAAAGACCGACAUAGGAAUGUUAGAUAGCACAAAAGGUAUACAUCACAAAAGAAACACGAAAGUGUAAGGAAGCUUACCGUGAAUCCUCUCUUUGAGAGCCAUGUUUUCACCAACCAAAUUGGUGUUGGCCCUCUCGAUCUCUUUGUAAGAGCGAGCCAGGUCAAUGUUGGCAGCCCGUAAGUCCUCGAUCAUCUUAGCCACUUGUAAGACAGCUCCUUCCUUCUCCAGCAGCGUUCUCUUCAGACGAUCAACGUCAUCAGAGAGGCCACGAGAACGAACUCGUUCCGGCUCGAGGUCCUCACGGGCCUUCUUCCCCGCCUCCUCUACGGUGCUCUGAGCGAUCUCGCUCUUCUCGCACUCUUCCUUUACCUCUCGUUAGGCCUCCCGGGCAGAGGCAAGGUCCGAUUUAACAAGGCUCUUCUCCUUGUCGAGCUCGGUGGCCGCGUCCUUGUAAAAUGCGGCCUCUUCUCGGGCCUUGGAAGCUAUCUCCUCAGCCGACGUGGUCGGCUCCCUCAGCUGCGUGGCCUCUUCUAUCGCCUUCUCCGAGGCCUCCCGAGCCUUGGCCAGGGCGGCCUCCCUCUCCUUAUUCUCCUCCGCAGCCGCCAUGAGAUCCUUAUACGCCUGGAGAAGCUUUUCCUACGACUCGAGGAGUUGGUCCUUGAGGAGAGGGAGCUGCUCCCAACCGCCUCUCGUCGCAUGGAUAAAACCCGACUUCAGGCAGGAGGUCUCUUUCAGAUCCUGUGAACCGGUAACUGAACGAUAAGAAUACAAGACUAGAUACCUAAAUAACCAAGAACCAAAGAUACUUACGAAGAAAGCUCGGCCGAGCCCAUUGUUGACAAUAUCCGACAUGAGGCCCAUGACGUGCUUCAUCCAAAGCCGGAGCUCCUCGAGAUGCUCCCACUUUUCGGCCUCCUUCUGGUCAUCCAUCAUGAUGUUGGGCUUCUCUGGGUCGGUGGAGGCUCAAAGACGAAUCCGACCGGGGCCCCAGUUCUUCAUCUCCUCCUCUGUAUGUGCCUUAAGGCCUCGAAUAAGCUCUUGAACGGUCUCGAGCGAACCUCCGUGGCGCAGGAAUAUGUCGAUGAGGGAAGGGAACCGCCCGUCGUCGUCCACCGACCCCCAGGUCCCGGUCUCAUUGGCGUCGCCACCGCCAAAAGUGCUGGCAUCGUCCCCCUCCUCGGCGCUGAGAUCCUCCCACGGCCGCCGAUCUCGAAGGAACCCCGGGGCGAUCCCAUCGAUACCGUAGAGGGAGCCCAUGAUUUCAGAUUGGGGGUCCGCCGGCGUGCGCAUAGCACACGCGAUUGCCACGACGCCGUUCUUCCGCCCUGGUUCGGUCGGAAUAGAGGCUGGGCCCCCUAGACGGAGCCACGCAGGGGUCGGCGGACCAUAGACCGGCAGCCCCUCCUCUCUGGUCUCGGGCCCUUGCAGCGACGGUGAUACUGGCUGGCGCGGGCUUCGUGGUGGCUGUUCAAGCAGCUCUUCCAGCUGCUGACUCCACUGCUGCUGCUGCCGCUGAAGCUCUAGCAGCACUUGCUGUCGGCAUUGCUCCAACUGCUCCUCGAGCUGCUCUUCCUGUUGCCGCCACUGCUCUUUUUCUUCUUCUUCUCCCCCUCCGUUACGCUCUUCUUCUUCCUUCUUCCUCCUCUCUUCGAUGGAGUGAAGCCCGAUGGGCCAAGGCGUCCGUUUCGCGACACGAGAGGCCUCGACCUCUUCAUCCGUGGGGCGGGCAACCUUCGAGAGCAGAUCGCCACCGGACCCGUCGCUGAUGGUGAUGGGGUCCCCCCUCGCCCCCAGACUAGGGAGGCUCGGGGGCUCCCUCCUACCCUUGGAGACGAGGCGUCUCGACCCAUCUUGGUGAUGGCGGGGCAGUGUUAGAAACGUCGCCCCCUCCGACGGACGAGGCCAGGUUCUUUCGACAUCUGUUGAUGGUCGAGUAUCAGAGGAACCUGUGUGCGCCCAAAGACGAUACGUCAGACGCAAAGAAGUUCGAUGCAAGAAUGGCCCAAGCUUCUGGAGACUGCCCCCACUUUUAGCUUCUUGGCCAUCGAGGGUUGGGCUUGUUCUAGCGGCCGUUUCAAACUAAGAAAAUGGGGAUCAACGUAAGAAAAGCCAAAAGACAUCAGAAAACAAUAAUCGCGACGUAAAAAUCUUACCCCACGGGAAGAACGACCCGCCUGCCAGCCCCUCGACCAACUGGCCUCGAGCCACCCUGCGUCGAGACCUUGGGCUUCUCUUAGGCAGGCGCGGGCCUCGGCUUGACAUCUCCCGUCUGGCGAGCGCCGGGCCUAGAGCUGCCACGACCCCUUUCCUUUUGACUUGAGUCCGCCACGGCGGCACGCCCAUGGGUCAGUGGCCCCGUCGCCAUAGUCUUGACCCGGUGGCCCACUCCAGACGUGGGAAGAGGUUGCGGCUGAGAAGCGGCCGGCCCCUGCAUGGGCACAGGAGGGGUGUCGACACGGGAACGGCGUGGAGAUGAUUCCCUCUGCUGACCGUCGCGGGGACCGCCCGACAUCCUCUUAGGGGCCCCCAUCCGCGGGACGUCGACAUCGGCUUAAGGCGGGCCCUCGAGGAUUUUGUCAAGACAAGCCGCCAUCCCCUUGUAGUCGUCGCUGUUGUCGCCGCCCUCGUUGUCGUCAUCCUCGUCAGGAGAGUCCUCCUCGGACUCCCCCUCUGCCUCGAUUUCGCGCGACGUUUCUCGAGCGCUUGUCGCUCGAGAUUCUUUUUCUUCUCAUUUUUCUUUUCUAAGUCCUUUGUGGACUUUUGUUUCUCCGCGGAUUCGCGUCGCCUGUCACGAUCAACGUCGUCCUCCUUUACCGGAGGCCUCGAGGACCGAGCGUCGAUCGGGCCCUGUGUGAGCAGGAGUAAGUCCCAGGGAAAGUCAGAAAGAUCAAAAAUUGAGUAACGUCAAGGGGAAGGGCUUACCAGGUCGAUCCACCCCUCGUCAGGUUUCAUGGGGAAGCCAUUGACGUGCUCAGGCUGAAAAUCGCCUGCAACGGCCGCCCUAACUCUGGCGGCGACCUCGUCGUCCGCGUGCGCCUCGUUGGACAUUCGGCAAGCCUCGAGGUUGCGAGACGAGACGUCGGGACCCAUCUCAUCCAUCCUCAGCGGUCGAGACAUCAACGGGAGUACCCGUCGAUGGUGGACAACCGAAAGGACAAACACGGUGGUCAGACCUUCCUCACGAAGCUUCUUCAGGGCAUCGAGGAUGGGGCGAAGCCACGACUGGAGGGUCUUGACGACGCCGUAGUUCCAGUGGUUCGGACGCUCCGAGAUCAAGCGCCCGGUGUAAUUGGGGAAGAGGUCGUGGUCGUUUCGCAGAUAGAACCAUUGGGAGUCCCAUUGGGCAUGGUUCGACGUCAGCCCCACCGGAAUGUACUCUCGAGGCUCCUCCGCCUUGCCAGUCUUCUGCACCAAGUUGAGGCAGCCGGCCCACACCGGUUUCCUCACCCCUGUAGCCCCACCAGGGGCAUGGAAGAGCUCGCCCCCGGUACAGAUGAAACCACAGGUCCCAGUGCGGCAUCAUCCCCAGAUAGCCUUCACACACCGCAACGAAAAUCGCCGCGACUGUGAUAGCGUUCGGCGAGAAGUGCUGGAGCUCCACACCAUAAUGGUGGCAGAGCGCCCGCAUGAAGCGUCUUGGAGGAGAACCGAGGCCGUGGCGAUGGAACUUGGCGAAGGAGACCACGUACCCCUUGGGCGGUCUCGGCUCCCGGUGGUCCGCCGCCGGCGCGAUCCACUCCGACCGCGACGAGGAAACGUGGGGGCGGAGGAGUCCCUCCUUCUCGAGCUCCAGCAGCCGGCGCUCCAUCAUCGACGACGGGCGCCAGUCAUCAGCAGCAACGAGCCUCACCGGCAUCUUGGGGGAUGAAGGAAGGCGGGUCCACUGCUAUGUGCUCAUGGGUGCGCGCGCGCGCGUGAAGAUGGCAAGGGGAGCAAGGGCAAGAACGAUGGCGGAAGGCGGAAGGAGUAAUGGCUGAGAGACCCCAUGAUAUUUAUAGAUGUCCAACCUCCAACGGGCAGAUCCGGCGAAUAUGGUAACCUCCCUAGUAAAUGCGCCGUCUAACGGUCUUGAUUGCUCUCGCUGAUAGGGCGCUACGAAUUCCGCGACGGCACAGUGCUGCAACGGCUCCCGCCUAAAAAGGCACGCCCAACAGGCAGGAAAGCGAACCGCCACGGCCCUUCCUUCCCCUGUAAGAUAAGGUACGUAUGUGUCGCGAUAGAAAUCUUGAGGGAUCAUAGACGAACCUCGUCGUCCUCGAGUACCAGAGUCAGGGAUGCCCAACGAGAGGUCGAAAAUGAGGCCUACCUCGAAAACUCGUUGGGGAUGUCCAAGGCAAGGGCAAGAGGGUCCAGUGGAAUCCCCACGGAGGGAGGCAUCUAGCCGCUGGACUCUAUCGAACGAGACCAGUAACCCCGACCGCAUUGACCCCGCUUUAUGAGAAUGCCUCCGGGCUGCAGCUGACCCCCUCGAACGGGGCACGGGUUCUCACUUGGAUUACCCGAUAGGAGCUCGACCUAGGGUAGGUGACGCUCGCUCCGCCAGGAGUACGUCACAACUCUAAUGCGAAACCAACCGAUUGAGGCUCGAAGCCCCUCUUCCAUGGCGAACGACAUUCGGAGAAAGGGGAGAUCGAGAGCACUUCCAUUAGAAAAAGCAACAUAACCCUUGAAGGAGUCAAAGACUCCUCCAAGGGCUCACGGGCUACCCCCGCGGGGGUCGCUCGCGCGACCCCACAGAAACUCGACCGACGAAAGAGCCUCCACUCUAGCGCAAGCGCUCGAGUAGAGACUCGAGGGCUACUGUCGAGGGUGUCAAUAAGGGGUACCCUAACCAAUGCUCAUAACGAGAGGACCCAUACACAAAUCGAGGCCCCUGACUCGACGCCCGCGCUCGCACACGCGACUACCAAAGCACGAUGCCAACCAUAGCCUCGAACACGGAAAAGGGGUCAUGCAAAUUAAUAGAGGCUCGACAGGACAGCGACCGUCGAAUACAGAAGUGGCUCGUACAAAUCGACACGCCUCGAGCGCAAGGACGCCGUCCGCCGCCUGACGUGGGUCAGGAACCAGGGCAUUUAAUGCACCUACCAUGUUCUCACCUAACCCGACAGUUACAGGAAACGUGAUAGGGAGCGAGCACCCAUCCAAUCCCCCUUUUUCGCAGCCUUAUCGCCUCAGAUGAGCUAGAGUACGGCCAAGCACAGUGAGAGAAUUGUGAUGUCGCAUCACGCCCCCCCUCGAGGCAUCCAAAGUCAGCGCAUCGAUCAGCAAGGCCAUGCGCGGUACUGGAUCCUCGAGCGAAUACGUUCCUUCCUAGAGAAGAGUCGGGCGGUGAAAGACAGCACCUCAACCCUAAACCCUAAACCCGCCUGACUCUUCUCAGGGAAGGUACGCGUUCGUUCGAGGGUCCGGCGCUGCGCUAAACCCUGCUGAUAGGAGCGUUAACUUUGGGCGUCUCGAGAGGGUCGUGACAAGACAUUUCGACCAUCUUGCCAUGACCUGCCAUGCUCUGAUUCAUCCGGUGGACAAGGCUGUAAAAAGGGAGAUGGGAUGUUUGCUUGCUCCCUAUCACGCUUCCCGUGACUGUCGGGUUAGGUGAGAACGCGGCAGGCGUGUUAAAUGCCCUGAUCCCCGUACCUGCAUCAGGCGGCGAACUGCGUCCUUUGCGCUCGAGGCCUAUCGAUUCGUACGAGCCGGUUGCCAUAUUCAAUGGCCGCUGUUCGGUCGAGCCCCAGUCGAUUCGCACGACGCUCUUUCCGUGUUCGAGGCUAUGGUCGUCGUCUUGCCUUGGCGGUCGUACGUGCGAUCAGGGGGCAUCGAGUCGGGGGCCUCGAUUUACGUACGGGUGCUCUCGUUAUGUGUUUCAGUUAGGGUACCCCUUACUGAUACCCUUGAUAGUAGCCCCCGUGUCUCUAUUCGAGCGCUUGCGCUCGAGUAGAGGCUCUGUUUGUUUGUCGAGUUUUUGUGGGGUCGCACGAGCGACCCCCGCGGGGGUAGCCCCCGAGCCCUUGGAGGAGUCUUUGACUCCUUCGAGGGUUAUGUUGCCUUAUCUGACAGAAGCGCUCUUGACUCCUUUGAGGGUUAUGUUGCCUUAUCUAUAGGCUUUGAUCGGUUGGUUUCGCGUCGGGGUUGCGACGUACUCCCGGCGGAGUGAGCGUCAUCUACCCCCAGUUGAGCUCCUAUCAGGUAAUCCAAGUGAGAACCUAUGCCCCGUUCGAGGGUGUUAGCUGUAGCCCAGAGGCGUUCUCCUGAAGCAGGGUCGAUGUGGUCGAGGAUACUGGUCUCAUUCGAUAGAGUCCAGCGGCUCGCUGCCUCCCUAUGCGGGGAUUCCUCUCGACCCUCUCGUCCUCGCCUUGGAUAUCCCCAACGAGUUCUCGGGGCGGGCCUCGUUUUCGAACACUCGAUGGGCAUCCCUGACUCUGGUACUCGAGAUCGACUAUCGAACCCGUUCUGCGGGCCAGUCUACGACCUCUCGAGUUUUUUGUCAUGCCAGGUAUGCACCUUGUCUUACAGAGGAAGGAAGGAUCGCGGCGGUUCGCCUUUUCGCUCGUUGGGCGCGCCUUUUCAGGUGGGAGCCGUUGCGGCACUAUAACGUCAUGGAAUCCGUAGCGCCCUGUCAGUGAGGGAAAUAAAGAUCGUUAGGCCACGCAUUUGCUAGGGAAGUUAUGGCAUCUGCUAGAUCUAUCCGUUGGUGGUUAGCCGCCUAUAAAUAUCCUUGGGUCUCCCUGCCAUCGCUCCUUCCGCCUUCUGCCCUUGUUCUUGCCUCUACCUCCUUGCCAUCUCACGCGCGCGCGCACCGUCGAACAGUAGCAGAGUCGCUCUCCUUCCUCCUCAAGAUGUCAGUGAGACUCAUCGCCGCCGAUGACUGGCGCCCGUCGUCGAUGACGGAGCGCCGGCUGCUAGAGCUCGAGAAGGAAGGGCUUCUGCGCCCUCGCGUUUCCUCGUCGCGGCCAGAGUGGAUCGCGCCGUCUGCGGACCACCGGGAACCGAGGCCGCCCAAGGGGUAUGUCGUCUCCUUCGCCAAGUUUCACCACCACGGCCUGGGUUCCCCUCCGAGCCACUUUGUGCGGGCGCUCUGCCACCACUACGGUGUCGACCUCCAACACUUUUCGCCGAACGCCAUCACCGCCGCGGCGAUCUUUGCUACGGUAUGUGAGGGCUAUCUGAGAAUGAUGCCACACUUGGACCUGUGGCUCCACUUGUACCGGGGCGAGCUCUUCAAUGCCACCCGCGGAACUACGGGGGUGAGGAAGCCUGUUUGGGCCGGCUGCCUCAACCUGGUGUUGAAGACUGGCAAGGCGGAGGAUCCUCGAGAGUACAUCCCGGUGGGGCUGAUGUCGAACCACAUCGGGUGGGACUCCCAGUGGUUCUACUUGAGGAACGACGAUGACCUCUUCCCCGACUACACCAGGCGCUUGAUCUCGGAGCGUCCGGACAACUAGAACUAUGGUGCCGUCAAGACCCUCCAGGCGCGGCUCCGUCCCAUCCUCGACGCCUUGGAGAAACUUUGUGUGGAUGGUUUGACCGCUGCGCUCGUCCUUUCGACCGUCCAUCAUCGACGGGUACUCCCUUUGAUGUCUCGGCCACUGAGGAUGGACGAAAUGGGUCCUGGGAUUUCAUCUCGUGACCUCGAGGCGUGCCGGAUGUCCAACGUGGCGCCCGCGAACGACGAGGUCGCUGCGAGAGUCAGGGCGGCCGUCGCAGGCGACUUUCAGCCUGAGCGCGUCAACGGCUUCCCUAUGAGGCCCGAUGUGGGUUCAGUUGACCUGGUAAGCGUUUCUCCGUCGUUGCCCAAUUUUUGAUCUUUCCGUCUUUUUUCGGGACUUGCGUUUUCCCAGGGCUCGAUUGAUGCUAGGUCCUCGAGGCCUCCGGUGAAGGAGGACAAUGUCGAUCGUGACAGGAGGCGCGAGUCCAUGGAGAAACAAAAGUCCGCAAAGGACUUAGAAAAGAAGAAGGAAAAGAAGAGGAAUCUCGAUCAUCAAGCACUGGAGACGCGUCGGGCGAAGUCCAGGCAAAGGGGGGAGCCUGAGAAGGACUCUCCCGAUGAGGACGAUGGCAACGAAGGCGAUGAUGGUAGCAAUGAUUCUGAGCGGAUGGCGGCUUGCCUUGACAAAAUCCUCGAGGGUCCCCCGCAGGCUGACGUCGACGUUCCACAGACCGGAGCUCCUAAGAUGGCGUCGGGCGGAUCCUGUGAGGGUCAACGGAGGGGGUCUUCACCGAGCCGCUCUCGCGCCGACACCCCUCCUGUGACCGUGUCGGGUCGGGCCGUUUCUAGGCCUCAACCUCUCCCCGCAUCUAGGGUGGGCCACCAGGUUAAGUCCAUGGCGACGGGGCUACUGACCCGUGGCCGCGCCGCGGCCUCAAGUCAAGGGGAAAUAGGUCGUGGGAGCCCUACACCAAGCGCUCGCCAGUCGGGGGACGUCGAGCCACGGCCCGCGCCUGCCCUCGAGAAGCCUGGGGUCUCGACGCGGGGCUGUUCGAGACAAGCCGGUCGAGGUGCUGGCAGGCAGGCUGUUCUUCCUGUGGGGUAAGAUUUAAACGUUGCGGUUCUCGUUUUCCGAUGUCUCGCGUGUUGUCAGGCUACGGCUUUCCUUAUGUUAUUCCUGUUUCUCUAGGUUGAAGCGGCCGCUGGAACAAGCCCAACCCUCGAUGGCCAAGAAGCUCAAGGUGGGUGCAGCUCCCAAAGACUCGGGUGAGCGGUUCACUCUUCUUUCAAUAGUGUUGCAGUUGUGUGAUCCUUAUGUCGAUCUUCAUAGCGACUGACAUUUCAUUUUCGAGCGCUCACAGGCUCCUCCGAUCCUCGGCCGUCGACGGGUGUCGAGAAUACCCCGCUUUGUCCAUUGGUGGGAGAGACCGCCCCGUCGUCACCGAGGCGGGUCGAGGCGCCUCACCCUCAAGAGUAGGAGGGAGCCCCCGAGCCUCCCCAGUCUGGGGGCAUGGGGGAUCCUAUCACUAUUAGUGAUGGGUCCGGUGGCGAUCGACUCUCGAAGGACGCCCGCUCCAUGGAUGAGGAGGUCGAGGCUUCCCCUGUCGCGAAGCGGACACCUUGGCCAAUCGGGCUCCACUUCGUCGAGGAGAGGAGGAAGAAGGAAGAGGAAGAGCGCGAGCGGGAGCCACAGCAACAGCUGUAGGAAGAGCAGCAUCAGCUGCGGCGGGAAGAAGAAGGAGAAGAGGGGCGGCGGCAAUAGGGAGAACAUCUCGAGGAGCUGCUAGAACAACACAGGCAGCAAGAGCUGCUGGAACUCUAAAGGCAGCAACAGCAGGAGAGUCGGCAGCUAGAAGAGCUGCUCGAACCGCCACCACGAAGCCCGCCCCAGCCGGUGCCGCCGUCGCCGCAGAGGCCUGAGAUCGAAGAGGAGGGUCUACUGGUCUAUGGUCCACCGACCCCUGCGUGGCUCCGUCCGGGGGGGCCAGCCUCCAUCCCGGCCGAGCCUGGGCGGGAGGACGGCGUCGUGGCUAUCACGUGCGCAAUGCGCACGCCUGCGGAACCUCAAUCAGAGAUCAAGGGCUCUCUCUACGGCACGGACGGGCUCGCCCUGGGGUUCCUCCAAGACCGGCGGCUGUGGGAGGAACCCAUCGCCGAGGAAGGGGAUGAGGCCGGCACUUCCGGUGGUGGUGAUGCCAAUGAGACCGGGACAUGGGGUUCGGUUGAUGAUGACGGGCGGUUCCCUUCUCUCGUCGACCUAUUCUUGCGCCACGGAGGUUCGCUCAAGACUAUUCAAGAGCUAAUCCGAGGCGUCAAGGCGCGUACAGAGGAGGAUAUGGAGAAUUGGGGCCCCGGUCGGAUUCGUCUUCGGGCCUCUACCGAUCCAUCGGAGCCCAACAUUUUUAUGGACGAUCGGAAAGAAGCUGAGAAGUGGGAACAUCUCGAGGAGCUCCGGCUUUGGAUGAAGCAUAUGGUGGGCCUGAUGUCGGACAUUGUCAACAACGGGCUUGGUCAAGCUUUCUUCGUAAGUAUUUUUGGUCCUUAGCUAUUUGGGAGUUUGGUCUUGCGUUCUCAUCGAUCGACUACUUGUCACAGGACCUAAAGGAGAACUUCUGCCUAAAGUCGGGCUUUAUUCAUGCGACGAGAGGCGGCUGGGAGCAACUCCCUCUUCUUAAGGACAAACUCCUGGAGUCGUAGGAGAAGCUUCUCAAGGCCUACAAAGAGCUCGUGGCGCUUGAGGAGGAGAAGAAGAAGAGGGAGGCCGCCAUUGCCGAAGUUCGGGAGGCCUCGAGGAAGGCGAUAGAAGAGGCCAUGCGGCUGAGGGAGCAGGCUAUGAUGGUUGAGGAGGCAGCCUCCAAGGCUCGGGAAGAGGCCACAUUUUACAAGGACGCGGCCGCCGAUCUCGGCAAGGAGAAGAGCCUCGUCACGGCUGACCUUGCCUCUGCCCGAGAGGCCUAUCGAGCGGUGAAGGAAGAGUGCGUGAAGAGUGAAAUCGCUCGGAGCACCGCAGAAGAGGCUGGGAAGAAGGCCCAAGAGGAUCUCAAAGCUGAGCGAACUCGCUGUCACGGGCUCUCUAACGAGGUGGAUCGUCUGAAGAGAGCGUUGAUGGAGAAAGAGGGAGCUAUCGCGCAGGCGGGCAAGGCGAUCGAGGACUUGCGGGUCGCCAACACUGACCUGGCUCGCUCUUAUAAGGAGGUUGAGAGGGCCAACAUCGAUUUGGUGGGCCAAAAUACUGCUCUGGAGGAGAGGAUUUGCGGUAAGUUUCCUCGCAUUUUCACACUUCCUUUUGCAAAGUGUUUUUGGUGUUGUCUAAUUUCUCCGUGUUGGUCUUUGCAGGGCUUAAAGACGUGCUUCUGGCGACCCAGGUCGAGGCCCGCUCCGCCAAGGCUCAGCUCGAGGGGGAGAUUGCUUUAAACGGUCGACUAAGGACCACGAAAUGACCUCUCGGCCUCCUGGGAGCUUGAGCCUGCGGACGAGUCAAGGGAGGAGGCUCGAGGCGACGCGCUGGUAGAUCAGCUGUGCUACCUAGGCGCCACGCUGAGGGACCGAGUGCGGGACGCCCUUCAUACUGGGUUGAAGAGAGCGAUGGCGGUCGUCUGCUCGGGCUUUUCCUAUGAUAUGGAGGUGGUGUCCCACGGCUUCAUCACCGACAUUUCUAAGACCGAUGCCGAGAACGAGGAGAGGCUCCACGCCUUGAUCGACGAUGCAGAGGUCCCUGGAGAAAGGCUGGCGAAGCUGUUCGAUCCAGAAGUGCUUCCUCCCAAGACUAGCCCGGGCGCGGACGAUGGUGGUGAGGGCGGGGAUGCGCACUAAGGCCUGCGAGCCUAUGCUGGGUGUCAAUACCCAUUGUAAAGUACUUGUCUUAAGUAAACAUUGUGUCUUUAAGUGGUUUAUGAACAUUUGCUUAUCUUUAUGCUCGAGAUUCCUUUAUUUCCUUUUCUACCUAUGUCUGUAUUUCUCGUAUGGUCUUUUGUUAAGGCGACCUUGAUUGCCUCGAGGGUUAGGGAGCGAGUAGAGUUACCAUAGCCCGGGGGCGUAGGGGUUCUCAGGGUCAUCGUCCCUCGGCCCUUAAGGGGCUCGAGGUGCCUCUACUAAUCGACCGUGCGAGGUUUACUUAUAGGAAAGAAAAAGAAAUUGUUUAGUUUUUAGGAACUUGGGGGGUCCCCUCUGCUAGCCCCCGAGGGAGCAUCGACUAUGAUGGGUCAUAGUUGGUACUCCCUUCUAACGUGGAGACCUUGACCGGCGAAAAAGUAAAUUGCUCGAGGAAAAGAUCUCGUUUAUUCAUGCAUUCAUUCAUUGGAUCUUGGUACAGAAUGUACACGAAACAUAACACUUCGAAACUCUAGGGGUAGAAUCGACGUAGCUGUUCGAUGUUCCAUGCGUUGGUGAAGACCGCCCCUUCUUCGUCCGCGAGUUUGUACGUCCCUGGCUUCAGGACCUCGGCCACCACGUACGGGCCUUCCCAGGGUGGGGUCAGCUUGUGGCGUCCUUGGUUGCUUUGCCGUCGCCGUAGGACGAGAUCGCCCACGUUCAGAUCCCUUUUGCGCACGUGCUUGUCGUGAUAGCGUCGAAGCUUCUGCUGGUAUCUUGUGAAGUUGAGGAGGGCCAUGUCUCGAGCUUCCUCGAGCUGGUCGACCGCGUUCUCUCGAGUUUCCCUGUUCGUCUGCUCGUUGUAGGCCUUGAGUCGAGGUCACCCAUACUCUAGGUCUAUUGGAACAACAGCCUUAGAGCCAUAGACCAUGAAGAAUGGGGUAUAUUUUGUGGCCCUGCUAGGAGUCGUCCUUAAGCUCCACAGGACCGAAGAGAGCUCUUCGACCCAUUUCUUGCCAAAUUUCUUCAACCGGUUGUAGAUUCUCGGUUUGAGCCCCUGCAAAAUCAUGCCGUUGGCACGCUCGACCUAGCCGUUAGUUCGAGGGUGUGCUAGUGCAGACCAGUUCACACGGAUGUGGUGCCGGUCACAGAAGUCCAAGAACUUUUUGCCGGUGAACUGGGUGCCGUUGCCGGUAAUGAUGACGUUGGGUAUCCCAAACCGGUGGAUGAUGUCGGUGAAGAAAAGGACGGCUUACUCGGAGCGGAUGUUCGUGAUGGGUCGAGCCUUGAUCCAUUUGGAGAAUUUGUCGACAGCCACCAGGAAAUGGGUGUAUCCUCCUGCUGCUUUAUGUAGAGGUCCUACGAGGUCAAGACCCCACACUGCGAAUGGCCAUGUGAUGGGGAUCAUCUUGAGGGCAUGAGCGGGAAGAUGGGUUUGCUUGGCGUAGAAUUGACACCCAUGGCAUGAGCGUACGAGCUCUAUGGCGUCAGCUACGGCCAUUGGCCAGUAGAAGCCUUGUCGAAAAGCGCUCCCUACGAGGGUCUGUGGAGCAGUGUGGUGGCCGCAAGCCCCUCGAGUGUAGAUCCUCGAGGAGCUUUCGGCCUUCUUCUAUGGUGAUGCAGCGCUGCAAGAUCCCGGUCGGGCUUCGUCGAUAUAGUUCGUUGCUUUCGCCGUAGAUCAUGUAUGAUUUGGCCCGUCGAGCGAUACGGCGAGCCUCGGAUCGAUCUUCCGGUAGCUCACAUCGAAUCAGGCAAUCAAGAAACGGCGUGCGCCAGUCGAAUGGUCGACCGAGACGCUGUUCUACUUCCAUUACUUCUGCUGCCGCUAGCAGGGCUUCGACAGCGUCGGUUGGAUGGGGGGCGGUGGUUUUGACGUCAGCCCCUGAGCUCAAAUUGAUGGAUGGUUCGUGCAGAUCUCUCAAGAAUGCGUCGAGCGGGACCGUGCCUCGGGUCGACGCGAUCUUAGCGAGUUCGUCGGUUGCCUCGUUGUAGCGUCGGGCGAUGUGGACGAUCUCGAGGCCGUGGAAUUUGUCCUCGAGUUGACGUACCUCCUUGCAGUAUGCCUCCAUUUUUGGAUCAUGGCAGCUCGAGGCCUUCAUUACUUGGUCGAUGACAAGCUGAGAGUCACCUCGAACGUCGAGGCGCCGAACUCCUAGCUCGAUGGCGAUCUUCAGCCCGUUGACAAGGGCCUCGUACUCCGCGACGUUGUUAGAUGCGGUGAAAUGUAUUCUAAUGACAUACCUCAUAUGGACGCCGAGGGGGGAGAUGAACAGCAGACCUGCCCCAGCUCCCGUCUUCAUGAGAGAUCUAUCGAAGUACAUCGUCCACAGCUUCGCUUGAACUUGAGCCGGGGGGAGCUAGGAAUCCGUCCACUCUACGACAAAGUCCACCAGAGCUUGAGAUUUGAUGGCUUUGCGAGGCGCAUAAGUGAGGGUCUCACUCAUGAGCUUGACCGACCAUUUGGCGAUUCUUCCUGUGGCCUCCCGACUUUGGAUGAUCUCUCCCAAGGGGAAGGACAAGACCAUCGUGAUAGGGUGACCAAGGAAGUAGUGUUGCAACUUGCGUCGGGCGAGGAUCACUGCGUAGAUUAGUUUCUGGAUCUGUGGGUACCGUACCUUGGUUUCUGAUAGUACCUCGCUGAUGAAGUAGACCGCCCUCUAGACCAGCAGCGCAUGUCCUUCCUCCUGUCUUUCGACCACCACUGCUUCAGUGACCACCUGGGUCAUUGCAGCAACGUACAGAAGCAGAGGCUCUGCGGGCUGAGGUGGAACGAGGACCGGGGCGGAGGUCAUUGUUUUCUUCAGGCUAUCGAGGGCCUCCUCGGCUUCAGGGGUCCACGAGAAACGUUCAGCUUUUUUCAAGACCCGAUAUAGCGGCAAUGCCUUUUCUCCUAACCUCGAGAUAAAACGGCUUAGCGCCGCCAAACACCCCGUGACCUUUUGUACCCCCUUGACGUCUCGAAUCGGCCCCAUUCUCGCAACGGCCGAGACCUUCUCGGGAUUGGCCUCGAUGCCGCAUUGUGAGACUAUGUACCCCAAGAGCAUGCCUCGAGGUAUGCCAAAGACGCACUUCUCGGGGUUGAACUUGAUUUUGUUGGCACGUAGACAAUUGAAAGCGAUCUUGAGGUCCUGAAUCAGGUCGCCUCGUUUCUUCGAUUUGAUGACGAUGUCAUCGACGUAUGCCUCGACCGUCGACCCUAUAUGCUCGCCAAACACGUGGAGCAUGCAUCGCUGGUAUGUUGCCCCAACGUUUUGGAGCCCGAACGGCAUGGUCACAUAACAGUACAUCCCAAAAGGCGUAAUGAAAGACGUCGUGAGCUGGUCGGAUUCUUUCAUUUUUAUUUGAUGGUAACCAGAAUAUGCAUCAAGGAAAGAAAGGGUUUUCACAUCCCGCGGUAGAGUCAACAAUUUGAUCGAUGCGUGGUAAAGGGAAAGGAACUUUUGGACAUGCUUUAUUUAAACUUGUUUAAUAGACACACAUUCUCAUCUUCCCAUUCUUUUUCUUAACUAGUACAGGGUUUGCUAACUAGUCGGGAUGGUGAACCUCCUUGAUAAAUCCGGCCGCCAAAAGCUUGUGGAUCUCCUCGCCAAUGAUCUUGCGUUUCUCCUCGUCGAAGCGACGCAGCCGCUGUUUCACUGGCUUGGAACCGGCUCGAAUUUCCAAGGAGUUCUCGGCGACUUCCCUCGGUAUGCCCGGCAUGUCCGAGGGACUCCAUGCAAACAUGUCGGUGUUUGCACGGAGAAAGUCGACGAGCACGGCUUCCUAUUUGGGGUUGAGGUCGGUGCUGAUCGUCAGCACCUUGCCGUCGGAGCCGUUGGGGUCGAGGGAGAUCUUCUUCGUGCCUUCCGCCGGCUCGAAGCUGCCCGCGUGACGCUUGGGUUCCAGAGCUUCUGUAGCAAGGGCUUCGAGCUUUGAGGCAAGCCCUGUGGAGUUCUCGAUAGCUUCUCCAUACUCGACGCACUCGACGUCGCACUCAUACGCAUGCUCGUAGGAGGAGCUAACGGUGAUGACCCCCUUGGGCCCAGGCAUCUUCAGCUUCAGGUAGGUGUAGUUGGGGAUAGCCAUGAACUUGGCGUAGCCCGGGCGCCCGAUGAUGGCGUGGUACGUGCCUCGAAAUCCCACCACCUCAAAGGUGAGAACCUCCUUUCUGAAGUUGGCCACCAUGCCAAAACAGACCGGCAGGUCGAUUCGACCCACUGGCAACGCCUUCUUUCUAGGUACGACACCAUGGAAGCCGCCCGCGCUUGGUUGGAGCUGUGUCCUUUCGAUGCCGAGGAGGUCAAGGGUCUCGAGGUAGAUGAUGUUCAGGCUGCUGCCGCCAUCCAUCAGUACUUUCAAGAGUCUGGUGUUGACGAUGAUGGGGUCGACGACGAGCGGGUAGACGCCAGGGGCGACCACUUUGUCGGGAUGGUCGUCGCGAUUGAAGGUGAUGGGGGUGUUCGACCAGUUGAGGUAUUGGGGCACCGCCAUUCUUGUCGCAAAGCCUCGCGGUGUUCCCUCUUGCGCUGCCUUGUCGUUAGCUGCGUCGAGGGUCCGCCGUAGAUCAUGUAGCAGUCGUCGACGGCUGGGAAGCCCUCGUCUUCUUUGUCGUCCCCCUUGUCGCCGUUCUUUUCUUUCUUCUGGUCGUCCUUCUUAAGCCCCAGGCCGUCGAAGUGCCCUUUCAGCAUGCGGCAGUCUUCAAGCUUGUGGUUUGCCCCUCCCUUAUGGUAAGGGCAGGGCUCCUUUAGCAUCUUGUCGAAGAUAGCUCCCUCAGGGGGACCUUGAGGUUUUUUACGCUCCAUGGCGGCGACGAGAUCGUCGUCGAAGGCCUCCCGUUUGAACGGCUGUGCUUUCUUCUUCUUCUUGUUUUUCUUGGGCCCUCGACUGGGACCCUCAUCAUCGUCGGUUGGUGCCUUGCCUUUACCUCCUUUGUAGCUGAAGAAAGCACCGACCGCUUCCUCCCCCGCAGCAUAGUUUGCCACCACGUCCAUCAGCUCGUCGAUGGUUUGUGGGCGGUUCCGACCUAACUCCCGUACCAAAUCUCGGCAGGUGGUGCCUGAGACAAAGGCCAAGAUAACGUCGUGGUCGGGGAUGUGCGGCAGCUCAGUGCGCGGCUUCGAGAAGCGUCGAGCGUACUCUCGGAGAGUUUCUCUCGAUUUUUGCUUGCAUUUGCUGAGGUCCCACGAAUUGCCAGGUCGUAUGUAGGUCCCUUUGAAGUUGCACUCAAACACCCUGACUAAAUCAAUCCAAUCGUGGAUCUGGUUGGCAGGGAUUUCCUCGAGCCAUCUGCGGGCGGUGUCGGAGAGGAAGAGUGGUAAUUGUCGGAUAAUAGCUCGAUCAUCCCCUCGAGCGCCUCCCAGCUGACAGGCUAGCCGAAAGUCUGCUAGCCAUAGCUCUGGUUUGGUUUUGCCGUUGUAUUUAGCAAUGCUGGUCGGGGGUCAGAACGGGCUGGGCAGCAGCGUGCUGUGGAUUGUUCUGCUAAACACGCGAGGGCCCGACGGUUCUGGGGCCAUCCGGUCCUCGUCGCUGUCGUAUCGCCCGCCGCGGUGGGCGCUGUAACCGCGCUCCUCUACAUCCCCAUGUCGACGGCGACGAUAUUCGUUGAUGUCGUGUCGUGCGUCGUGUCACCGUUGAUUAUCGACGGGGUGGUUUUGGACAGGCGUUGUCCUCUUUCCUCGAGGGGGUGGUUGCUGAUGGACCGACACCUCCUUUUCGUUUCGGACCGGCUUGUUAAGCCUCUCCGUGGCUGCUCCUCGACGUCAAGAGGAUGAGCUCUCGGCCUACUGAACUGCCACCACUUGAAGCAGAGUCUGCACCUCGUCUUGAAUUCGCCGCGCUUGGGAGUUUGAGGGUUCAGGCAUGUUACGUAGCAGCAUCGUCGCCGCCACGACGUUCUGGCCCGCUCGAGGGAAGUGGCUGACGGGUUGUUCUGGUUCCCCGUCCCCGACAAUCUGUCGAUGUACUUCUCGAGCCCGUCUGCGGGCACCUCCGCCAUGCGGGUAUGGUUGGUCCUGCUCGAGGGCGUGCUCGAGCUGGACAAGGUGCUCGCGAUCUUCAUCGAGCUUCGCUCUGAGCUCUCAUAACUGCGCAAAUUGCGCGGCUUUGUCUUCCUACGGCGUGGGGUCGACCUGACCGUCGUUCCUAGGCGUCCUGGGGUCCUCCCUUGCUACAGGGGCUCGACCGCCAGCGAUGGCGUCUUGUGUUUCGUCGGUGGUUUCUACCUCCCCGUCGAUGUUGAAGCAUUCCCUUGUAGGGUCGUAGCUGUCGGACAUAGAGUCGGGAUCCGGCUCUACGGUGUAGAAACAUCCGCGUCGUUCUUUCGCCAGCCGUUGUCUGAGUGAAGUGAUCGUGUAUCGCCCAGGUCCUAGGCUGCGGAGGCCUCGUACCUGGGAGAAAUCCAGUAGCUCGAACGCUUGCUGCUGUGUUCUGGCGUCGCGUGGGAGGACCAUUGGUCGCUCCACGUACGUCUGGGCGUUUGGACAUAUCGCCCUGGCAAGCGACGCCGCAGCGUUAUCUAGGCCGAACGGGAGUGUUCUUCUUGGGGCAAACAGUUCGUGCGGUAGCAGCGUCGUGGGGGACGGGAGCACAGGAGGCGCGUUGUCACCCAACGUCGCCGCAUGGUCCUCGUGACGUUGGGCUGUCGUACCCACGGCUCCGCCGCGCGGGUUGUCGAUUCCUGCGUCACCGCCUGCCUGGCACGAGCCGGCGAACGUGAGGAGGCAGAAGAGUGGUGGCGGCACUGUCCAUGCCUCUUCUUGGGUGGGGAGGCAUGGUGGCGAGGCCGUCUCGGAGCCCUCAAUUGUGCUGGCGCAAUACGAGCUCCUUCUGGUCCUUUGACCGAGAGCAGGAUCAUGUCGUAGCCGAAACCGGUAGACAUGAACUCGAGGCUCCCGAACCAAAUCACCAUGGAGCGUGGAAUCGGUGAAACGAGAGUGGCCAUCUGGAAAGAGAUGGGAAAUUGGUGAAAAAACAUGCAGGACCCCUACCUGGCGCGCCAACUGUCAGUGUUUUCCCCCCGGGGGGUCACACCAACGAGUAAAACUUGUGUGCAUGUUUCCUUUCCUAGAUGGUGAUGCAAGAAAGACACAAAGAUUUAUCCUGGUUCGGGCAAGAGAAGGCCCUACGUCCAGCGGGGUGGGAGAUGUUUCUAUUAUCUUCCACUUAAGUGCUUGUACAGGGGCGAAUACAAGUUGGAACCGUGGAUGGAUGGAGAUGAAGUAUGGUUGAUCUUCUACGUAUGUCUCGUCUCGUGUCCCCUAUCCUUUCCAGGGCUCCCCCUUUUAUAGUUCCAAGAGGAGACCUAGGUUACAUGCGUAGGUGACAGAGUAGGGGUCGAUAGGGGCGUGGCGCGCUGACUUACUCGAGGCUUCCGUACUGGCGUGGCCUCGAACUGUCUUGUCUCGGUACCUUGAUGAUGAUUACGCAUGCCUCUGAAUCCUGCUCCUAUGCGCCGCCCUAGAUGGGCUUAUCCGUGGGCACGCCUGUACGUCGUGCUGCAGUUGCGUUAGGGUGGUUGAGGUGCUGUCUUUCACCGCCUGACUCUUCUCAGGGAAGGAACGCGUUCGCUCGAGGGUCCGGCGCUGCGCUAAACCCUGCUGAUAGGAGCGCUGACUUUGGGCGUCUCGAGGGGGUCAUGACAAGACGUUCCGACCGUCUUGCCGUGACCUGCCAUGCUCUGAUUCAUCCGGUGGACAAGGCUGUAAAAAGGGCGAUGGGAUGGGUGCUUGCUCCCUAUCACGCUUCCCGUGACUGUCGGGUUAGGUGAGAACGCGGCAGGCGCAUUAAAUGCCCUGAUCCCUGUACCCGCGUCAGGCGGCGGACUGCGUCCUUUGCGCUCGAGGCCUAUCGAUUCGUAUGAGCUGGUUCCCGUAUUCGACUGCCGCUGUUCGGUCGAGCCCCAGUCAAUUCGCACGACGCUCUUUCCGUGUUCGGGGCUAUGGUCGUCGUCUUGCCUUGGCGGUCGUACGUGCGAUCAGGAGGCGUCGAGUCGGGGGCCUCGAUUUACGUACGGGUGCUCUCGUUAUGUGUAUCAGUUAGGGUACCCGUUACUGAUACCCUCGACACUAUCCAUGGCGUCUAAGACCUUGUUUAGUUCACCCAAAAAAUAAAAAAAUUAAGGUUUUUCGUCACAUCGAAUCUUACGGCACAUGCGUGAAACAUUAAAUAUAGACAAAAACAAAAACUAAUUGUAUAGUUUACUUGUAAAUCACGAGAUAAAUCUUUUGAGCCUAGUUAAUUGCCACAUUCUUCUCUUCAUUUGCCAUGAGACCAAUAUGAGAAGGGGCAUAGAGAGUUGAGCUUCUUAAUGAGGUGGAUUCAUUAUUUGGCCUCCACCAAUCACAAUAUUUUUCUUCCUUCGAAAUAUUAGUCCAACAAAAACUAGAGGAAGUAGAAGUACCACAUAUAAAUGCAUUGUUCUCACCAACUAUUUCAUUGUCUUCCAUUAAGUCAUAUGUUAGUGAGAAAGUAGAUGUGGCAUGAUCACUUAGACCUUUUGGGAGAAUCACUUGAGGCUAUUCUUUUGUCGGUGAAGUUGAGACUUCCUCAAGUGGUUCCUCCAAUGAGAGCAACUUCUCAACACAUUUGGACUUGUCAUAUCUUUCUAUGAGUGUGGUCCAAAUGAGAUUAGCAUCAUCAAGUGGUUCAUCAUCUCCAAAUAUGAUGGUGUCAAGAACAUCUUCUCUCAAAGCACUAAAUAAAACAUUAGUAGCUUGAGCAUUGUAUUGUAAGCAUUUUACUUCCUCUCUAGAUAGAUAGACCAAAUCAUCACUAGGAGGUGAAAUGCUCAUAUCUACAACCCGCUCGAUAUGAGGACCCAUGUCAUUAAAAACAGCAAGCACACUAGCAGACCAAGAUGUAUAAUUUGAGACAUCUAAAAGUAGAAGUUCUAGAGAUAUCUCCUCACUUAUCAACAUCAUCUCUCAAGGCGGUUAAGCCAAAAUUGAGAGCCUAACUCUGGUACCAAUUGAAAGGACCUUGAUGUCGCCUAGAGGGGGGUGAAUAGGCAUUUAUGAAAAUAUCAACAAUUAAAACUUGUAGCGGACUAGCAGACUGCGGAGCCUCCAUGCUGAAACGUGGAACCUCUGGGACCCCGUCGGAUGCUGAUGUCAACAUCUGACUAGUGCAACACAUGCACAACAAAGGGUAAAGGGUGUGUUGGACACGCAGGAACUAUGGUGUUAGACGCUCUGGUACUCACACUGUAGCAAAGACUGUCUUCUGCAAUGCGUCGGAUGCUGCUAAGGUUCAGCGUCAGACGCUAACCCUAGCACCGGACAUUAUGCACAAAGGUUUGAGAAUGCUCCAAUGGGCGUCAGACGUGUCUGAUGGGUAAGCAUCAGACGCUGGCCGGAGUACGACAUACCCCCAAACUGAAAGGACCUUGAGGUCGCAUAGAGGGGGGGAGAAUAUGCGUUUAUGAAAAAUACCAACAGUUAAAACUUGCAGCGGACUAGCAGACCAUGGAGCCUCCAGACUAAAGUGUGGAACCACCAGGACGCGGAACCUUCGACGAGGUUGUGGAACCUCCGAAAAGCAUAGAGUACUCAGCAGCUGCUACACCUAGAGAUCAAGAACUCAAACCAAACUUGAAGGUGUGUUUGAUGAUGCCCAGUGGCAAGUCCAUGAAGUACUUGCACUCGCAAACACGCACAACUAGAGUGUUAGGUCAUGGUAAUGACAAUCUUGGGCAAUGUGGUUUUCAUACCACCUAUCGAUGGAAAUCGUUUCGGUUUUCAAAGGAUUGACAACAAGGUUAAGGACGGUUAGUUCCGAGCAUCGAAGGUGUUGAGUGACGUUUGGAUUAGUCGUAGGACUUGGUUUUCCUUUGGCCAUACUAUUAUGGGGGGUGCAAAUGGGUAGCUUGACCGAGGUGAGUCUAAUGGUUAGGUGUGGUGCUCACUUGUCAAAAUUAGCACUAGGUAGCUUCAUUUUGUCCCUAAGAUUAGUUGAAGUCAACUCGGUUCACAAAGAAUUUGGAUUGGAAGUGAAACGAGGACUUUUUGCUACGUCGGAUGUUGAAGAAGUGAGCGUCGGAUGCUGAUGUCAACAUCCGACUAGUGCAACACAUGCACAACAAAGAGUAAAGGGUGCGUUGGACAUACAAGAACUGUGGUGUUAGAUGCUCUGGUACUCACAUUGUAGCAAAGACUGUCUUUUGCAAUGCGUUGGAUGCUGCUAAGGUUCAACGUUGGACGCUAGCCCUAGCACCGGACUUUCUGCACAGAGGUUUGAGAAUGCUCCAAUGGGCGUUAGACGUGUCUGAUGGGUAAGCAUCAGACGCUGGCCGAAGUACGACGUACCCCAAAACUAAAAGGGCCUUCAUGUCGCCUAGAGGGGGGUGAAUAGGCGUUUGUGAAAAUAUCAAUAAUUAAAACUUGUAGCGGACUAGCAGACCAUGGAGCCUUCGGGUCUAAAGCAAACAUUUGAGAUCAAGGGAGUGCAAGAGCCUUUUGAGGUGUUUGUGAUUUGAUAAUCCAAGAUUAAGGACCUCAUUAGUUCAUAGGGAGUAGCAAGUGUGCAUCCACCUUCCUCAUUAGGCUUGUUAUGGUCAAGUGAGAGUUUGUGCUUAUUACUCUUGGUGAUCGUUAUCACCUAGAUAGCUUGGUGGUGAUUGGGAGCUUGGUGAUCAUCCGGCGGAGCUUGUGGAUAAGACUCAUCUUGUGGGCAGUUUUGGGCAAUUCACCAUGUCGAAGCGAUGAAGAAUCAGCCCGCAGAGAGCACUUGAUCCUUGUAUGGAUCAAGGGGAGCUACACCCUUGCAUGGGUGCUCCAACAAGGACUAGUGAGGAGUGGUGACUCUCUGAUACCUUGAGAAAACAUCAUGGUGUUCCUUUUCUCUUUAAUUUGAGCAUUUACUUUCAAGCAUUCCAAUUUUUGUCUUUACAUUCCUAAAAUUGCCAUGCUAGUAUAUUAUUGGAACCUAGGGUGCAAAACUUUUAUCGUGGUAGAAUUGCAAGGAAACACACUUUAGGCACCUAAUAGGUUUUAAUUACCGCUUUAAUUUUUAGAAUUAGCCCAAUUCACCCCUUAUUGGGUAUCUUGAUCCUUUCAGUUAAUUCCGUCAAAGUGGUGAUGUAAUAGUUGAUAAAACUAUGUGAUGUAGCCAUUAAAUUGGUAUUCAUGAUGUAUGAAAUGUGGUAGAAGUUGGAUAUUAUCAAUAUGAUGCCCUCAUCUUCCUGGGACUAUCAUAUUAUGUUAUGUGGAUUUUCUUUGAGAAAAUCGAGGUUCCUUUCACGAAUUUGUCUCGAGCAGGUGGAAAAUGACAUUGUUUGCCAAGCGAUCUCAGUUGUAACAUCCCACCUCCACAAGGUCGGGUCUGAUUACAUCUAGUAGCUUUUCUAGGACAUAGUCAUCCCUCACAGACCAACACCAGUGUUUUCGGCACACUUUGUCCUCACUCGUGCGCACCUAUAAAGAACUUCCUGGUCGGUCACCUAUCCCUAAAUUUCUCUAGGCCAAGCAUGCUUAACUUUAGAGUUCUUUGGAGAUGGGAUUACAGAAAAGAAGUUGCAACUUGUUGGUAUGAGUAUUCUAUUAAUCCUAUUAAGCCUUGGGUGGGAUGUUACAUCCUCACCCUCUUAAGAGACUGACGUCCUCAUCAGUCAACCCCAAGCCAGGAACGUACCCUCUUAGCCACGUCUAGGGAUGAAAACGGUACGGAUAUUUUUCGACCGUAUUCGAGACUGAAUUCGUUUAGUGAGGUUCAAAUUUGUCUGUAUCCGAGUCUGAAUAUUCAACAUCCAAUACUGUAUCUAUAUCAGAAUACUUAAAUCGCAUAUUUAUGAUGUCGACAUCUAACCGUAUCUUAUCCGACAUGAUUGACAUUAUCCGCAUUCGAAUCUGAAUACGAUCACAAAUAUGAAAACAAAUAUGAUAUCGAUAAUAUCCGUCCGUAUCUGAUCCGUUUUCAUCCCUAGCCACGUCCAUAUGUCUAGUGCCAGCACAUGUGCCAAGCUGUGUGACCACUCCGGGUCCACACCAGCCAUGCACACUAUGCCUGUGCAACUAUGACACACGCACCCAUGAAACCACUACAGUCGGCUCUGAUACCAUUUUGUAACGUCCCACUUCUAUGAGGCUGGGCCCGCUUCCAUCUGGUAGCUUUUCUAGGACAUAGUCAGCCCUCAUAGACCAACACUAGUCUUUUCUGCACACUUUGUCCUCACUCAUGCGCAUCCGAGAAGAACAUCCCGGUCGGUCACCCAUCCCUAAAUUUCUCCAGAGUAAGCACGCUUAACUUUAGAGUUCUUUGGAGAUGGACUUCCAGAAUAGAAGUUGCAACUUGUUGGUAUGAGUAUCCUAUUAAGCCCUAGGUCGGGAUGUUACAUCAAUAGCUUUGGUGGUGGCAUAGCUCCAUUUCCCCAAAGUAAGCCCAAGAGCCACCAAGCUUGGCUACCUAGAGGAGGCUAACUUGGUGGAGGCCAUGGCAAUGGCAAAAGAGCUUACUUUGGUUGCAAAGGUAACGAUUGUGGUAUUGAACACCGAUAGUCUCCUACACUAGCCUCUACCUAGGGAUGCACACAAGCAUAUCGACAACCACAUGGGACCUCCUUGCUAGGACAAGAAAAUCUAGUAGUAGUAUGUACAUAGGUGCCUCCAACUAGGUUCUUUUUUAUGGAAAGAAUAUGUUGCACGUUCUUCAAUAGUAUCAUCUUUUCGGACCGAACUUUAGAAUGGUCAUACCAAUACAAGAAUACGCUCAUGAGACCUGUUUCCCAUUAGCAAGACUCUAGUCCCGCUGACCUGAUAAGAAGAAAACAAAGAAGCAUCAGCAUACACAUUUAUAUUAGCUGUAGUAUCCAUUCACCACUCAAACGAAUGACAAACUGCAAAAAAAUGGUAAAGAAUUGCCAUAUUCAGAUGUUCCUCCUUUAGGCUCGCUAACAAUCAUACAUGUUUGUAGGUUUCUUUUCUCACUAGUCAUGCACUUGCCCAAUGCUCAUUGCUCCUGCAAACAAAGCAAACACCUUAUUUGUUCUUUUUCUUCUUAUAAAAGUGGUUGUUUUCUUAGCCUUCGAGUUGUUCUCUUGCUUGUUCUUUUUUCUUUUUUUUUAUGAUGAGAUACAUUAGAGUUUUUCUUCUACACCAUAUUGGCACUAGAAGACUCAACUACUUUUCCACAUGUGUCAUUUAGACUCACCCUAUCCUCAACAUCAAGAGACCCAAUAAGCUCAACCAUGCUAAACUCUUCUCUAGUGCUUUAGAGAUAUAGCAAAAUCCCUACAGAAAGGUGAUAACUUAGCGAUAAUACCUCUAACCACAAACUUGUUAGGCAAUAUACAUAGAAACUGCUUGAGUUCCUUAGCUAGUCCUUUUAUUUCAUGAGCCUAUUCCACUAGUGAACAAUUAUCAACCAUUUUGUAGUCAUACAACUAUUUCAUGAUGUACAUCUCACUACCAGCAUAAAAAACACCAAACUAAACAUCAAGUGCAUUGCAUAAUUCUUUGCUUGUCCUGCAUAUUAUGUAAUUGUCCUCAUAUUUGUUAUGAAAAGUACUAAUUAUGGCACCUCAAAAUAGGUUAUGAUAGGCGUGAACUUUUGCUCCUAUUCAAGAGUAAAUUGUUUGGGCUUCUCGGUGCGCCAUGAUAGCAAAGUAGUCAACACCAAGACCAUCUAAGCAUGCAAUCUCUUAUAGUUUAUGCCAUCAAAAUCAUUCGGCUUUAAGGCAAAAGCAAAACCAAUAAGAAAAAAUUGCUUAAUAUUAGGUUUUUGAAUUAUUAGGUAUUUAGGCAUUUUCAUGUUAAGUUGAUUCUAGAAAAAUAGUAAUAAAUUGGUGGAGACAAAUAUAAGCUCGUGGAUAUUACCAGUGUCAACUAUGAUGAACAUACUAAUCAUAACAUAACCAAUAUUGAAUUGACACAUUGAAAGAAAAAAUUGUACCCUGUAGAGGGACCCUUGCUCAAGGCACUGGUGGCUCCAUUCAUAAGAGAUAUUUGUGUUGCUCAAAGUUAUGGACCUCAGUCAGUGUAGGUAGAUGUUCGCAGUGCAGUCCCUCGCACCUCCACCAUAAAAGGUGAAGAAGUAGAUGAUCAUUCACACCACUAGGAAGAAGAUGUUCCGAUGAACAACAUCACCAGAACAAAGAUCAUAUCAGCGAGCAGUCGUAGUGAUGCUCCGAAAACCUGAUCACCCAUGCACCUAAGCAAAAUCUUGAUCAUCCGCAUACCCGAGCAAGUGUCAUAGGUGCAGAUGGCAGUUCCUAAGGUCUUCUCUCCUAACUCUCCAUGCGCACAGAGGAUUGGGAUAUAUGACAAGGAAACUUAGACGACAGUGAGAAGAGGAAAUACACUAAUUGACUACCAUAGGAUUUUCCAAACUACAAACUUCCAAUGGUAGUUCUAUUGUUGCUCUUUUCUAGGAGGAUUGGUCCAUAUAUAUAUAAGGAGGUGAACCCUUGUUGACGGUAGUUAAAGUAUAUAUUAUGGACCAUCAACCUUUCUCACAUAAAUAAUAGAUAUGAAAGAAUAGGAGGUUAUUACUAACAGUUUUCAUGAGUUUUGUUGAAUUCAUAUUUUUUGUAGGGAUUAUUCCAGAUAUACAAAGGAGGAUAAAAAUGUUAAAAAGGACUAAACUUAACUAUGACAAAGAGUACAUUAGAAGACUCUGAAAGACUCUAGAAGAUACCACGUCUAAGCGGGUGUUGAUAUUUGGUAACGCAAUAAGGAAAUGAUCCGCAAGCGCACGAAUAUCGGUGAGCAUUUCACCCGGGAGGUUAUCCAGAGUUAUCGUAUUUAUAUUUUUACCACUGGGAGAAAGAGUGCAUCUGACUAACCAAAUCUAUUGCUACUAUCCCUUUAGGCACAAAGAAUGUCUUUCGAUGUGAGUGAUAAAUAGAGAAGACUGCAACCGUAGUCUCCUUCUAACCUUGGUAAGGAUGAUCUACUGUUCUAAUGGGGAGGCUAACGGAAUCUAGACAACACAAAGGAUGUUCGACCCGCACCUAUAAACCCUAUCCUUCCUGCUAACGAGAUGUGAUCUACAAAGGUAGCUCGGAAUUGUCACGUUCCUCACUACUACCACGGUCCAGCUAGUCAGGGAAUAUCUAUGAGUACCCCAGCCUAAACACCACGUUUACGCCAGCAAUGAUUACUCUAAACUCUACGCGAAGAGAUUAAAGUAAACUCAUAAACCAUAAGAACAAUAAAACAAGAACUUACUAGAAUUUAGAAGUCGAAUUACUGAAGAAUCCUAGGAGCAAGCUUCGGGUUAGGAGAACUUGAUCCCGCAGGUACAAGCUUGGAGUAGACACCAACAAGCCCGGCUUCCUCCAAUCUACACCUCCACUCUAUCUCUCUCAAUCUAGUAGAAACUAGAAGAUCUAUUUCUACCUUACAUUGGUUGCUAAGCCUAAAAAGAAAUAUUAAUUAGAGAAGAGGUUUUCCUUCGAGGGCACCCCUCAAUCUCUAUGAUAAUUUCUUCAUGUCUUCUCCAGGGGCCAAGGGGGUCUCCUUAUAUAGUCCUCCCCUUCUAUGCGUUUUUGGGUCGAUAGGCGAGGUGGUACUAUGUUUUCCUUGAUCCAAUAGGUCGGUGGAACAUCCCGAGCGAAGAGAGUCCUGAUCUGGCUCUAGCAGGGGGCGGGCGCCCAGGUCCUCAGGGCAGGCGCCCUGGGCCUGGCCCCGUUUCGCCUCUGCUUCGGUCUCGUGGCUUCUGGAGUCUUCUAGAUGGUAGAAAAUUGCACAGUGCGUUGAUAUCUCUAUGUAAUCCCGACAUGUGGGCCUUUCUCCCUUAUUUCCUGAUAACCCCCUGCAGAAAUAGACAAACACCAAAACUCGUGAAAUUCUGUCAGAUAAAACCCUAAGUCUAGAUGUUGAUUUUAUUUGGAUCCUUUUCUUUGUUUAUUUGAUAAUUAAAUUUGAUACUUAAGGACCGUCAACAAACUCCCCCAAGCUUACCUCUUGCUCGUCCCUGAGCAAGGAUAGACUUUGCUAUGGAUCAGAAGUUGUUGCAAUAUCUUAAAAAUUUGACGGUACACAUGCUUUUAAAUAAGAUCUCAUCUCUGAGUUAGAGUAAACUGUCAAGAAUUAAAACUUACUUACUUUACCUCUCACCAUGGGACUUGUAACCGUCACUUCUGUCUUGAGUAGUUAAAAGAUAGAACAGUCUAGCCAAGUGCCAUGUCUCUUAUUCUUGAUCAGCUAUAGCUCUGGGGUUUUUGCAGAUUUUCAAAUAAAACUCAGAGAUUCCUUGUAUGACUCUCUCAUAUCUCUCUUUUGUGGUAUUUCUGGAUCCUUACCAAGGCAUUGAUGGUAUAUGCCUUCUCUCAAGAUAUGUGGUAUUUAUGGUAUAAGGCAUAGUGACAUUGCCUUCUCUCUCACCCUACUCUAAUAAGGCUUGAUAUCUGGAGCUCAUAGGUGGGAGACAGUUAAUACAUACUUACAAGACAUUUAUUGCAUAGUCAAGCCAUGGAUCCAGAGAAACAAAUCAAUAAGCCAAAUCAAGAUGUGCAUGUGUGGCGAAUGAAUGGUGUAUGGUGAUGAUGGUAAUAACAAUGGUGAAAGUCUAAUUCUACUUUUGCUCUUUUGAGGGGAUACGUACCUUCCUUGCUUUUUGAAACUUUAUGAGGAGAAUGAGAUGCUCUUCUUUUUCUUUCCUCUCAGGUGGGUAUCUUGUAUCCCUAAUUCUAUUAUCGGACACUUGUCCAUUUUUACCUCUCGUCUCACUUUUUCUUUCUUUCGAGGUUCCGGGCACUUGUCCCUUUUUAUUUCCUCGUUUAUAUAUAUAUAUAUUUUUCUUCUCUUUUCUUUCUCUUUUUUUUUCUUUUCAGAGCACUCAUCUCUUGAGAUAAUAUAGCAAGUGGUAGUAACCAAAAUAUUUGGAGCAUUUAUUUCACAGGGAAUAACAGGGAUAGGAAAAUGUUUUUGACUAUUCUCUCCCGGAUUAGGAGUAGAAUAUUUUUGGGUGAUUCUGGAGAUGGAAAUGGAUGGAUAUAUGUGGAUGGUACUUCUGGAGUAGAAGUAGCAUAUAUGAGUGAACGUGCAAGUGAAUCUUGAUUUAACCACAUGACAAGCUCCUAAGGGUCUACACAGCUUGACCACACUCAAUGCUCAUAAGCAGUAAAUAGUAAAUGUGUGGCUCAAAGUCUAGCAAGCAUGUAUAUAUGGCUGUGGUAGGAAUUUAAACUCUCAUCAUACAGGAACUCAUCAUGCAAUAUUUUAAAGAUUUUUCAAGAUAAAGUUCUCCAGAAUUCUAGCAUCUCUAGGAACAGAUAAACAGCAGCUCAACCUUCCCAUAUCAUAUCCGUUAACAACUUAGAUUUUAGAUCAAGUUUUCGUCCCACAAGUUUAGAUCUAGAGCAAGCUUUAAAUUAUAACAGUUAUGUCUAAACUUGAGAGGGAACUUUAAAAUUGCAAAUUAGGCAGAGCAACUAUUCAUCAUAUCCAUGAUAGAGUUUUAUUAUUAAGAUUCAGAUUAGCAUAGCCACUUUAUUUAUUUAUUAAACAUACUAAGCAAAAGAUAUAUAUAAGCACAAAAUCUUUAUUUGGUUUUUCAUAGUUUAUGUAUUUUAAUAUUCUAACAUAAUAUAAGUAUAAAGAUAGGUAGAAAUACUUAGCGAGAAUAAUGGGGGUGCUCUCCCCAAGCUGAAUUUUGACGUAAUUUCUCUUGAUGUAGCUAGCAGGUGGCAGAGGUGUAUUUGAAAGUCAGUAGCAUUCUGACAGCGAUUAGAAUGUCCUCCGUCUGCUAGUCUUCUUGAUUCUUAAAUUCUAUGGAGCUCAAAUAGACAACAAAGCUUGUGGAACUAAUUAAGUGUUAGCAUAAAUAUCUAGCCUUCAUCAUGUUGAGCUUCCUUAAUAAAUGUUAUUUAUUUAGCAGGAUCAUGCACUUAUUAUUUUUAUAUUUUUAUUGUAAGAUGAAAACAUAUUUAUUUUAUUUUUAUGCCACCACAGUGAAUGUACUUAUGGGUUUUAUGCCAUGAGCAUACUCACAUGGGGCUUACUUUUUUUUAACAUUUUUAUUUUCUUUUCAAGAUAGCAUGAACCUAAGCAAACUAUUGAAUGGAAAAGGAUAACUACCAAGUUUACCUCUUGGCAAGGCGUUCGGUAUUUUUAUGUCCUCCGAACGGGACUCUCUGUUUUCUCAGUCGUCCUGGAAUUCGCUAGGUGGCGUAGUCGGUGAUUCCGGCGGCACCUCUCUUCGUGUAUAACUAUCUUCUCCCUCCACACCUGACUCGGUGCUAUGGUCUCCUCAGGACAGUUCUAUUCAAGUUGUAUGUCUUCAGUCUUUAUCACUUCUCCUUCGUAGUCUACCCAUCCGUUCUUGAUGAUUUGCCUCCUCUUGGUUGCGGUUGCGUCGUCUUCUUGUCCUGACCUGCUUAGAGUCUUCAACUAUAUAGUUAUGGUCAGAAAAAUAGUUGCGUACCUUCUCAGAGGGGAAGUACAUGUGGACUUCUCCGGUUCCAAUGUAGAUGAUUGCUUUGAUAGUGUUGAGGAACGGUCUUCCAAGGAUGGUGGGUGGAUCAUAUUCGUCUUCUCCCAUGUCAAUGACCUGAAAAUCAUCUAGAGCUGAAUAUAUUGGUUGUAGGGGCAUGGUUCCAUACAGGAGCUGAUAAGUGACUGCGGCCAUUAUGUUGUCGUCAGAUCCGGUGUCGUAGAGUGUCUUCUGAAAAGAGUAUCCAUUGAUUGCGCACUUGAUGUUUGGAACACCAGGGUCAUCCUUCUUGAUCAAGAAAGGUGACCUGAGUCGACGAUGUUGACCUCUUCCGACAAGGAUCCAAUGUUUUAAGUCUUCUGGACAAGACUUUCUACCAUCUUCAUCCUUUAGGUGCAUCAUUUAAUUAGGUGUGGACCUUGACGCCUGCACCUCUUGAUACGGUGUUACCCAUGUUCUUCUUUGCCCAGUAGUUCGAAGUAUGGUGUUGGCAAUAUCCUGCUCAGUGUGUUUGUGCUCAU
rnacentral:lncRNA from 1 species